CUAGCUCAUUCAAGAGCUGUCUUUCCUAAGCUCUUUGUCCAGCCUCAGCCUCUGCUGUCACUGAUCCCUCCAUCGUGUCUCUGCCUUCUCUGUGUCUCCCCUUUCUCUCUCUGGUUUACCUUAUCUUCCCCUCUCCCCACUUGCUUUUUCCCCCAGACAGUUCCUUAGGUGGUAGGCUAGGCCAGCUGGCUUUGCAUUUCAAUUGUUACUCAAAGAGAGUCUGUUGAUUCCCCAGAGAUACAGGUUUCAACGUAAUUUGGGGACUCAAAAGCAUUCUUUGCACUCCUUCAACGUCACUUUCUCUUAGCUACCUCAGAGAUGCCCAACAAAUGCCGAUGAUUCAAUGACUUGCUAAAAAGAGAGCACACGUUAGUGAGGGUAGACAAGGACAAGGGAAAUGGAGUAUUGACAUCAGGAGUUUCAUUUUUUCUGUUCAGAACCUUCAUGAACUGUACUAUGCACUCUCUAUUCAGGAGCCUCAGCUGGUAAACACCCUCCUAGUCAAAUAGAAAAUUUUUAAGAGUCUUUUCCUCUCUUCCCUAAAAACUAGUGGUCCCUGAGUCAGUUGACACUUGUGACAAUGAUUGUUGAGAACUUCCAGUGGAGUCUUGAAUCUCACGACCAUUCCCUUUUCCCAGGAGAGACAACUAGGAGGGCUCUUCCCCAUGACCCCACCCUAGCAAUCAUUACAACUGUUAUGUAUACCACACACAGUUCACCCAGGGUCUAACCAUGCCACAACCCAUUCUAGUUCUCAUUUGUUCCCUCCUCUUUCACCUCACUUCUAACAGGCUCUAUUUAAGACACUUGGAAGGGCAGCCUCUCCUCGUUCCUACUUCCCAUCCUUUGGGUUUCCAGCUCCAGUACAUACCAGCACCCAUUCUCUUUAGUUCAAUUCUUCCCUCUCAUUCCCUCAAUGGAGGAGUGGCUUCGCAAUUCUCGUAAUCACAGGGGGGAGACAAGCAGACAACUGGAAUGGCCUAUUUUCCUGGCACUCUUUUACUUCUCCACUCACUUCUUCCAUUACCUUUGAACUACUAGACUCGAAUCACCCCUGUCCUACCCUUCCAAGGGGAGCAAGAGUAAUAGCUAGCACUUACUGAGUGACAGCUAUGUACCAAGCAUGCUUUUGCUCAGCCUUUCUGGGACUCCAGCUGUCAGUCCCUGUGACUCUUUCCUUUGUCAAACUUUGCAUCUCUCAACUCCCUGUCUCAUCUCUAUCUCCGACUUCAUCCUCUAAUCGGUUAUGAGAUAAUCCACUGUCAUUCUUCCAGAGGCCACAUCUUAUGUGACUAGACCCUUCAAGGAUGGACCACUCCAUCUCUGUGCUCCUACCAUCCCUAGCUUCUCUCAGGAAUUGUCUCAUGGUCCAGGCUACCCUUUUCAUCACCCAAGCCAGCUCUUACUAAAAUGCCCUUUCAGAGAAGCCAUUUCUGUGGGCAAAAACACUGCCUCACCUCCCCACUGCCAGUUUAGCCCCCGAUUCCUGGACCUUUAGAGUCCCCAGAAGUAACCCCAUCACUUCCCCCCAGGCUCCAGAACCUAUCCAAACCCCAAGAAUGGCCACAGCAUUUCACACACAUUACAAGAGCUCCAAUAAGCAAUUCUGACUCCAGCCUUCUGCGGCCUGACUCCUCUGUCCCCAUUCUCCGACUCCCGACCACCUUUUCCCUCCUUCCUGCCCACUCACUUGCCCACCAACUGUUUAGCAAAGCAAAACCCCCUUUAUCAAGUGAUUCAAUAUGACACUCUCAUUUUCUGUUGAAGGGUUCGUUUGUACUUUUAGAGCCCCAAAUGUAUUCUUCUUUGGGGGAGAAAAUUGCUUUUCACCCGUUACUGAGAAGACGCUGGGUUUUGAGUGUGAUAAACGGCUAAAUCAACUUUGGAAAAAAAUAAAUAAAACCGUUACCCCAGGAUCUCGCGAUGUGAGGACUGACUGGUAACGGCCACCACGCUUCCCAGACUCAUCAUUCACUGGGCUACUGACCUGUCAAUCACUUCUGCUGGGCCAAUGAGGACUACCCCCGACACAAACGUUGGAGGGCAGGCCUACUGCUCCCGGUAUUUGAGCUAGUGGAGAAGAUCCUGCUGCCCACAGCUGCUGGUCUCACCACCAGGGCCUGGGCAUCGUAGGCAGGGGGAAUGGGGAGGGGACAGUAGGGUCAGCCUAGACCCACACACAGGUUAGAGCCUUUGGACGGGGAAGAGGAAAAGGCUUAGUACCUACUACUGGGUUUCAUUAAUAGUAGUGUUAGGUAGGCUGCACUGGCUGGAUUCCACCCCCACACGUGCCAUUCCAUCAUUCUGUGAUCCUGGUUUCCUGAUAAAAGGUCCUUUUGAAAUACUCUGUUCUCACCAAGUUGGAUGGAGAUGUGUUCCCAUACUAAGAUUGAGUCCCCUGCAUUUGCUGCCUUCUUGGUUUUCCCAACCAACACCAUGGCCUCCCCUCUGUACCUCAUUCAUAUGCCUCAGAAGUUGACAAUGACUGCUGGGCUUUCCCAGUGAAUACCAUUUCCUGCAGGCUGAAAAGAAGACAGUAUAAGUAUUUGGCAACAAGAGGUGAACAUGGGCCAAGCCGGUAACUGGAGACAUGAUGCCAAGGAGGAGCUUUAACCUGAGCGCCAGCCACACACCGGAGGCAGACCACCCUCCUGGCCACACUGUGAAUGAAUGUUGGCCCCCCACCCAGGUCCUCAAGUGCUUUCCCAAUCACCCCCCAGCUGCCAGCUUCCCCAGGCCUACUAUAGAUGGCCCACCCCACUUUACCCCCAACACCCUCCAAUCAUUAGAACUACUGACUCCUGCCUCCCAUGCCUGCCUCCAUGGCAGGCCCCUGCAGAAACCAAACACAGUCACCUUAGAUUCUGGCAUACUGAGACCAGGGCCUGAUCCUGGCCCUCUCGCCUACAAUUUGCUAUUUAAUAAAAAUAUUGUUAAAAGAAUAUUCACGCCUCUGCAAUAUGUUUGUUGCCGAAUGUAGCAUCAAAUGACAGCCCCUCUUCUUUCUACCGUUUUUCCCCAUUGUAUCCUUUCUGGGAUCACAAUGACAAGGAGCGGCUAAGAAUGAAGGUAAAUUCGGGAGAAGUGCAAAAAUCUUCAUUUCUCAGAAGAAAUCGACAGCAGACUAUGCUAUACAAGGGCAAUGCGUUUGGGAGUGUAGAUGCCCCUGUUCCCUCCAACUAAGAAGAUGGACCAGCCUGGCCAACAUAGCAAAACCCUAGCUUUACUAAACAUACAAAAAUUAGCCGAGUGUGGUGACACACACCUGUAAUCCCAGCUACUUGGGAGACUGAGGCAGGAGAAUAGCUGGACCCCAGGAGGCAGAGGUUGCAAUGAGCUGAGAUCGCACCACUGCACUCCAGCUUGGACAAUAGAGCAAGACUCCAUCUCAGAAAAAAAAAAAAAAAAUGGUUUCCCUGGGCACAGGACAUAGCACCAGAUUGGAGAGCACUUUCCCUACUCUAUUAGGACAUUAUGUAACAAAGACUCGGGGUUCUUUGUGUUAUUUAUAAUAAAAAGCCGAAAAUAGUUAGAUUUUAGUUGGUUCAUGUAGUGAACUAUUGUGUAGCUGUUGAAAGGCAUUUGAAGACCUUUUUUCACAGCAGAAGGAAAAAGGCAUAUUUCAAAACUGUAUAUGCAGUAUGUUCAAAUUUUAUAAAGUAUCUAUGUGCAUAGGAACUUUGCAGAAAGACACCAAAAUUUCCAGAAAUUGGAAUUCUGGCUGAUUUUUAAUCACUUUUUAAAAUUUUCUACAAUGAACAUGAUUAUCAUGAGAAAAAAGAAAUCCCAUAUUAUAAAAGUUUUGGGUUUUCCCUGUAGGAAAUGAAGAAGGAAUCGCAGCUGACCUAGUGAGGGGGCUGUUAGGGCCGGUGCUUUCUGCCACUGACAGCUUAGGCCAGCGGAGGUGGAGGCCCUCAUGGGAACCAGAUUCUAUAAUCCUGCCAACCGUCAGAAGGAGACAGAUUUAGAUCUAGUGGAGGACAAGGCAGUCUGUUCCUCCCUCACCACCUCCCACUCACUAUUCCUUUCUCUUACACCUUCUUUGUGCUGUAGUGACAAGCACUCUGCUCUUAAGGGCAGAAGACCUGGGUCCACAUCUUUACCCUCACACCCCCUAGAUAGGUGGCUGGAUGAGUUUUUCAGUCCUACCAAACCUUACCCCAUUCACCUACAAGACACAGAGCAAAAGCCUCCAAUGAGCAGCUCAAUCGUACCUCAGGGCCUUUGCAAUUUUUUUUUUUCUCUCUUUUUUAACACACCCACAUCUUCUUAGCAGCAAUUUCUUUUCCCUCUUUCUAGAAUGUCAUUCCCCCAGAUUUCAUGUGGUUAGUUCCUUCUUGUCAUUUGAGUCUGAAGAGUGACACCUCCUCAAAGAGUUCCUCACUCCCCUCCGUCUCUUUCCAUACAUUUUUCUAUUUUAUUUUUGCUGAGCACUGAUCCCUAACUAAGAUUAUCUUACAUGUUUGCUCCCGUGCUUGUCUCCUAGAAAUUAAACUCUCUGGGAGCAGGAAUCUUGUCUGCCUUGAGCAGGUAAUCUCCAUUACCUAAAACACUGUCACUAAUUAAAUGAGUCAAGCACCGUGCAAUACCUUUUCACCAUGUUUUCUUAUUUAAUUUUCCCCAAGAACCUCGUGUGGUUUACAUAUGAGAGAAAGGUUAAGAACAGAGAGGUGAAGUACAAUGAGUAAGUGGCAGUGUCAGAAUUAGCACUAAUUCUGGAACACUUUGUGCUUGGCUACCCCUCCCUCCCAUGCAGCCAGCAUGAAGUCGUUUUGGAGAGAGAGGGCUGGGAUGGACAGUUCAAGGGCAGGAAACAUUAAGAACCAAAUUUCUGAGUCUGGAAAGUUCAAAAUAGUAAAAAGACAGAAUUGGGUUACAGUCAUGGGAAAUAGGGGGAGCAAAGGCUGGAAAGAGCUGGAGAAGCUUGCUUGGAUCUUGAGACCAUUGGUAGGUAUCUGAGUGACACACACUCCCUUUCAUUAUUCCACAACUCGGCACUGAACACCUCCUGAGGGCUUUAAGUGGUUCAGAACUUCCCUGGAAUGGGCAACCCCUGUCCUUAAGUAAGCACCUACUGUGUGCUCCAUGUGGCUCAGGACACGUCUAGUCUGGGAGAUCAUUGUCCUUGUCCUGCUGGUGCCUGGGGUAUUGCCUCGAGCCAAUUGGGUGUCUGCUUAACAGGGGUUACCUGCCCUGAGCAGAGACAGAUGGGAGAUUUCAGUCAUCAUUAAGGUUUAUUGACCAGCAAAGCUGGAAUUUUCCAGAGAGAGGAAUUAAUCUUGCUACCGACUGAGAGCAGACAUCCUGCUGGGAGUAGUUACAUAAAUUCUGUUGCUCAAAUUAAUUAGAAUUGUGAUUCAUUUGUUUAAUGAGGAAGAAUCUGAUGAUGGCAAGAGCCAAGCCAGCCUGGACUUUCAGAGGCCAGCCAAUCCCAGGUGACACUGUGGCAGAUGGGAGGACCUGGCGGCUGGAGCAGGGCUCUGCCAUGGGCGGAAGAAGCUGACCAAUCAGGAGGAGGAACAAACUGAGGCAGGCAAAGACAGCCAAUCAAAAUUCAGUGCUAGCUUAGAAGGGGGUCUGAGGCUUUGGAGUCUCCCAAAGCUCAUGUUUCUGUGGUCUCUCGGGUUCCCAAGCAUGGAAAGAUCUCUCAGCUUCAUCCAGAGUCUUACAUCCUCCUCUUUUUCCAAGCUGUGGAGAAAAAUUUCUGACAGCCCAGAUCACCUCAGCAGCACUCCCAGGACCCAUCGAGCCAUUUCCCCCCAGCCCCAAAAUUGGCAGGAGGAAGGGUUCUUUCAAUAAAGCAAAAACCUGUUGCCUGAAGCACAUAGAAAUAUUCUUCUCUUUCUCCCACCUCUACUUACAGAGUAACCCCUCCCUUGUACCCAGAAUGCCCUUACUGCCUGUUCAGGGUAAGCCCCAAAUCCCACCACAUUGCCUUCAUUCUACCUGUGAGGCCCCUGCUGGCCUGGGUCUUAACUUGCUUAAGACCUGGGUCUCAGCUGCCCUAAUAUUUGUGAGAGACAGGAUGGUUGCUGGAGGAGGGUAGCCGCAGUGGGGAGGGAGAGAUGUAGAAAUUCCACAUGACUCCAGGGGUCAUGAUCCGUAUUAUAGUGUAUGUGAUGGUGCCCUUUGGGAUAGAACAGAAAAGGUGCUUCCUGAAGGUGUGCUUCCUGGUGGCCCUGGAGAAAAGGGGUCAGAGUCAGCAAAUGUUUGAAGAUUGAGAAGGAUUUGCUGAUGGACUAGAUGUUGGGGAAGAAGAAAGGAGAAUAAGACAAAUUUGGGGGCUUAGGAAUUCAUGCCAACAUCUGCAAAAGCUCCCAGGGAACCUUGUUUUCUUUCUUUUUUUUUUUCUUUUUUUUCUGAGAUGGCAUCUCACUCUCUCACCCAGGCUAGAGUGCAGUGGCUUGAUCUCAGCUCACUGCAACCUCCACCUCCCAGGUUCAAGCAAGUCUCUGCCUCAGCCUCCCAAGUAGCUGGGAUUAUAAGUGCGUACCACCAUGCCGAGCUAAUUUUCGUGUUUUUAGUAGAUUUCACCAUCUUGGCCAAGCUGGUCUUGAACUCCUGACCUCGUGAUCCACCUGCCUCGGCCUUCCAAAGUGCUGGGAUUACAGGCAUGAGCCACCAGGCCCAGCCAGGAACCUUGUUUUCUUUCAAUGCUCCCCCACUUCUUAUUGUGACAGACCAGACUGGUAUGACCUGGAUAAACCAUGAGCUGGGCUCAGCAGGACCUGUGGUGGAGCCGGAGCAUCAUCAAGGGUGGGUACCUGGCUGUCCCAGGGUCUUCGCCUGCUUUACAAACCAGCCCAAGAAGCUUCACCUGGAGCCUGGUCAGUUGUGCCUCGGUUAGAGAAUGAAUAGUCACAAAGGGACACUGGUCUGGGAAGCAAAACUCCAAAAUGGAGUGGGCCGGGACAGAUCAUGUCAGCUCUCUGGGCCUCAAUUUCCUCAUCCUUGAAAGGUGCCUACUAUCUGCUGAGGAGAAUAGAGCUUCUGCUCUUGUUCCCUACAGACUGUCACUCCAUCAGCUCCUAGAGAGAUCUUUAGUAAAUCUAAGUCAUACCUUGUUACUUCCUAUAUUUUAAAUCCCUCUAAACCUCUUCAACACAUUCAGAAUUUCUAUUUAAAAAAAAAAAAAAAAGGGAGAGAGAGAGAGAAACUAAUCCUUGGCUAAGGAGGCCCAUGUGAUCUAGCCCCUGCCUACCUUUUAGCCCUCCUCCUCUGCAGCACCAGCCCCUCACCUCACUCUGCCCACAUCAGUGCUCCUUCUGAUCCUUGAAUCCAAGCCCACUCAAUCCAUAAGGCCUUUGCACUGACUGGUCUCUGUCCCUGGGGUAUCUUUCCCCAGCUCUUUACAUGGGUGGAAACUUAAUUCUUUCACUGCUUAAAUGUCACCUUCUUGGACAGACUUUCCCCAACUAAUCUAAAGUAGCUCAGGCUCCAUCCAUUCCCCUGUCUAAUUUUUUGUUGUAACACUUUUUACUCCUCUCCCUUUAUUGGUUUGUUGUCUACCUUCCUCACCUGGAAUUUAAGGUCCACAAGGCCAGGGGCCUUCCCCAUGGAGUCAGGGUCCAGCCAGGAGAAUAGGAGCUGCCCUAGAUAUUUCAGAGGUGUUAUUUAAUAAAAGGAGUUAGUUUAAAUCUAACAUAUUAGAGGGAGAGGAAAAAUCUAAAAGCGAACACUGAAGUAAGACCGAGGUAAUAAUCACAAGAAGCAAUGUGUGUUGUCAGAAUCUAUGUGCUAGGACCAGGUACGGUGGCUCAUGCCUGUGAUCCCAGCACUUUGGGAGAUGAAGGCAGGAGGAUCGCUUGAGGUCAGAAGUUCAAGACCAGCCUGGCCAACAUGGCGAAACCCCAUCUCUACUAAAAAUACAAAAAUUAGCCGCACAUGGUGGUGGGCGCCUGUGAUCCCAGCUACUCAGGAGGUUGAAGCAGGAGAAUCACUUAAACCUGGGAGGCAGAGGUUGCAGUGAGCCAAGAUUGUAUCACUGCACUCCAGCCUGGGUGACAGACUCCAUUUCAAAAACAAACAAUGGCCAGGUGCAGUGGCUCAUGCCUAUAAUCCUAGCACUUCAGGAGGCCGAGUUGCGUGGAUUGCCUGAGCUCAGGAGUUCAAGACCAGCCUGGGCAACAUGACAAAAACCCAUCUAGAAAGAACCCAUAGAGCUAGGAGCCAGCCUUCUGAGGGGAAAUCACCCAGCUGCCACUCACUCACCUCUAAGGUGGCAUGGGAAGGCUGGUUCUGGGAGUGGUGAAAGGAGCUAGAAACUAGAGCCAGCUUCUGCCACGAGGUAGAAGGGCCAUUGCUGGUACAACCCUGGCAAGCAUAGAGGAAGCAAAAAGGAAGGAUCAGUUUCCUGCUUCCUCUUUCUGCCUUCCAGUAUCCGGCUAGUGUCACUGCUGAUGAAAACUGAAAAUCCCAUGUCAAAGGAUAUACCAGCCCCAGCAUCACAAAGAGAGCAUUAAAAGGUAGGAUUUGAGCCAGAUACAACGGCUCACUCUUGUAAUCCCAGCACUUUGGGAGGCUGAGGCGGGCAGAUCACUUGAGGUGAGGAGUUCAAGACCAGCCUGAUCAACAUGGUGAAACCCCAUGGGCUCAUGGACCUCAAAUUCCAGCUGAGGUAGACAGACAAACCAAUAAAGGGAGAGUAGUAAAAAUCUACUAAAAAUACAAAAAUUAGUUGGGUGUGGUGGCAAACACCUGUAAUCCCACUACUUGGGAAGCUGAGGCAGGAGAAUUGGUUGAACCCAGGAGGUGGAGGUUGCAGCAAGCCAAGAUUGCACCACCACACUCCAGCCAGCGUGACAGAGUGAGACCCUGUCUCGAAAAAAAAAAAAAAAAAAGGUGGGAUUUGGAGCAGAGAUACAACAGCAGAAUGAUUAGUACACCUAUCUUGUACAGUGCUUUAGCCCCGUGCUGGAAGAGCGCUCGGCCUCUAGUAGAUCAUCAAAUAUUUGUUGAAUGGAUGGAUGGAAAAUGAAUGAUACACCACAUACAGUAUUAGUAUCUAGGGGUGCAGAAAUGAGACACAUGCUCUAACCUCAAGUGGCCCACACUCUAGUAAGAUAACAGGCAUUGUUUAUGGUUCAGGAUAAAAGUAACAAGAGAAGAACCUGCAAUGUACUAUGGAAGCGCAGAGGAGAGACUCGCAAUGGCCAGGACAAAGCAGAAUUAGUGAGACACACAGAGACGCUGAGGGUCAGAGGUGUGAGGCUGCAGAGCACAUUAGGUCUGGGAAUAGUUCAGGCAAAGGCAGAGAGCUUGGAGAGAGUAUGACUCAUGACAGCUGGAGCAUCUACAGGAUGUCGGUGAGAAGUGAGCCUGGAGCGCUCAAGUCCAGUUCAUGAAGGCUUCAUAUGUCAUGCUCAAGGUCAAAGAGCACCAGCCAGGGCUUGACCUCAAGGUCACAGAGUACCAGCCAGGGUUUGACCUCAAGGCAAAGGGGCACCAGCCAGGUUUUAUGAGCAGGACAGGAACAUGAUCAGAGAGUAAUAUGAUCAGAUCUGAAGAGUGCAAGUUUGUAGGGAGAAGAAUGAAGAUUGGAGUCCAGUUGGAAAGUUGUUAGAAUAGUCCUGGAUAGAAAGAAUCCUGUCUUAGUCCAUUUCUGCUGCUAUAACAAAAAGCCUUAGAAUUGAUAAUUUAUAAAUAACAGAAAUGUAUUUCUCACAGUCCUGGAGGUCAAGGUGCCGGUAGAUUCAGUGUCUGGUGAGGGCUUGCUCGCUCCUUCCAAGAUGACACCUUGUUCCUACGCCCCCCAGAGGGGAUGAACGCCUUGUCCUCACAUGGCAGAAGGAUGAGAAGGGGCAGGCAGCUCUCCCAAGCCUCUUUUACAAGAGCAUUAAUCCUAUUCCCAAGGACAGAACACUGAUGACUUAAUCACCUCCCAAAAGGCCCCACCUGUUAAUACCACCACAUGGGGUUUUAAGUUUCUUUCUUUUUUUUAUUUUUAAGAUGGAGUCUUGCUGUGUUGCCCAGGCUGGAAUGCAAUGGUGUGAUCUCAACUCACUGCAACCUCUGCCUACCACGUUCAACCAAUUCCCUACCUCAACCUCCCAAGUAGCUGGAUUUACAUGCACACGCCACCACAACAGGCUAAUUUUUGUAUUUUUAGUAGAGGUGGGUUUUCAGCAUCUUGGCCAGGCUGGUCUUGAUCUCUGACAUCAUGAUCCAUCCACCUUGGCCUCCCAAAGUGCUGGGAUUACAGGCAUGAGCCACUGCGCCUGGCCAGGGAUUGAGUUUCAACAUGAAUUUGGAGGGACACAAACAUCCUUAACGGACAGGUACUCAUCUAAUUGUAUACUUUCCAUGAAUGUAAUUUGUUAUUCAUAGUUUAUACCUCAAUACAGUUGGAUUAAAACACGAAACAACUGAUGGGAAUCUGAGUGAAGGUUGAGGACCAAAGGAGGGGAAGGAAGACCUGCCGAGGGACUGGGAUCACUCAUCCUGGGCACUGUCGUAGGAUAACCCAGGCUCCAGUGCCUGAGAAUCAGCCAGGUCCUUGCAUCUUCCCCUCACUAACAUGUGAGACUUCAGAGCUGGAAAGGGCCUUCAGAGAACACAUCAAUGUCACAAAAGGAAACAGAACUCUCCUCAAAUAGUUCAACUGAGGAGACUUUACUGAGGAGGGACUAUUUACAGAGGGAUGGAUUAAAGAAACCAAGAAGAAUGUUGAGAAACCCAGAGACUGCAAACUGCUGUGUAUUAGUCCGUUCUCACGUUGCUGUAAAGGAAUACCUGAGACUAGGUUAUUUAUAAAGAAAAGAGGCCCAGGUGUGGUGACUCAUGCCUAUAAUCCAAGCACUUUGAGAGGCUGAGACAGGCAGAUCAAUUGAGUUCAGGAGUUCAAGACCAGCUUGGCCAACACGGUGAAACCAAGUCUCUACUAAAAAUACAAAAAUUAGCCAGUUAUGGUGGUAGACACCUAUCAUCCCAGCUCCUCGGGAGGCUGAGGCAGUAGAAUUGCUGGAACCCAGGAGACGGAGGUUGCAGUGAGCAGAAAUCAUGCCACAGUACUCCAGCCUGGGCCACAAGAGCCAGACUCUGUCUCAAAAAAAAAAAAAGAAAAAAGAAGAGGUUUCAUUAGCUCACAGUUCUGUAUGUACAGGAAGCAUGGUAGCAUCUGCUUCUGGGGAGGCCUCAGGGACCUUACAAUCAUGGCAGAAGGCAAAGCCAGAGCAGGCGUCUUCACAUGGCCAGAGCAGGAGGAAGAGAGAGAGGGUGGAGGUGCUACACAUGUUUAAACAACCAGACCUCAUGAGAACUCUAUCUUGAGAACAACACUAGGGGAAUGGUGCUAAAGCAUUAAAACUGCCCCAUGAUACAAUUACACCAGGCCCCACAUGAAAUUUGGGCAGGGACACAGAUCCAAACCAUAUCAUGCUAGAAACCACCCAGGGGCCUAAAGGAGGUUACUGAAGCCCAAUGAGGCCUGGAGCAGGGGAAGGACCGCUGGGCAGAAGGGCACUGACCCAACCCUGCUUCAAAGCAGAGAUGUAGCAGGGAAGAAAUACUCCACCCUCUCUUUUCCCACCUUCCAGCCUCCUGCCUGUGUCUCCUCAUAGCCAAAUCAUACCGGAGCCAACUGACGCAGGAACCCACUGAUUCAUUCCCCAGGGAUCAGCCUUCUGAGGCACAGAGCAAUGCUAAGAAGGAGAGACAACGAAUUGAAGAGAACAAGUGGAGAACAACAGCAUCAUGUACUGCAAUUCCCCAAAGAAGCCUCAGAGAGUGGAGGAAACUUGCCAAAGGCCAUGUAGCAAGUUAGGACAGGGCCCUUAGCCCCUCUCCUUGCAACCCGGGCUCCUGGCACACUGGGCCUGCACCGAAGGCAGCCAGGUGGGAUGGCCCAUUGUCUUGGAGCUGCAGCUGCAGGUCCAAAUUAGCCAGAGGAAGGCAGCUGAGCAAGGGCAGCAGUGGGCAGGGCUAGGACGUCAAAGACCUGGCCACGAACCCUCAAUGUCAGGAAGGUAAUAGACACUUGCUUCCUUGUCUCUUAUGAUUUGCUACCUGCCCCCUGAUCCCCAUUUUUUCUCUUGAGUCUUCCCCAGACCUGGGGACAGGAACCCAGACCUAGGAUUGACAGGGACAAUGGGAGGAGACUCUGCUUCCCUGGUAGCUGGCCCUGCUCAUCAAUUCCCUAGAGCUGCUCACUGAUCCAGCACAAGAUGGUUUAAUUGAAGUCAUUACGAUAAAUGGUGCAGAAAAGCAACACCCUUUGUCUGCCAGGAGCCACAGAGAAACAGGAGAGGGAGCUGGGAAACCCAGCAGCAACAACUGCAAUUGAGAUGAUGCUAACUAUGACGCAAAGGGGAUGAGACCGAGGCAGCACAGGGUCCUGGGUUUGAAGCCUGACUGGUCACUUACAAGUUAUGUGACCUUAGUCAAGUCCCUUUAUCUUCCCGAGCUUCUCUGCCCUAGUCUAGGAAAAUGGGAAUACUGCAACCUGUCCUCCCAGGCUCUGCAUGACCCUGGGCCCUGCCUGCAUCUCUGGCUCCCAUCUCUCACCACCUCUCACCUCUCGUGUUACUCUGUGGUCACCCAGGCGGGUUGCUAUUCCCUGCCAUGCCAGGCCUCAUACUUCACUCAUGUGGCUCUCUCCCGUGAAAUACCCUUCCCACUCCUUCCCUGGGUGUGAAGAUUCAGACAGAUUUCAAGAUUCAGAUCAAGGGUCACCUCUUCCAGAAAGACUCUACUCCCAGCCCUCCUUCCCCUGAAUGCCUCUAGCACACCCUGACUGUGACACCCAUUUGGCAUUUGACACUCCCUCUCAUGCACAUCAGUCUUUCUCCCUAAGGCUUAUUUUCUCAUGGAGAUAAACGUGGGAACUGUAUCUUCUUUUUCUCAUCUUCAUAUGCCUCAUACAUACCUAACAUCACAAUUGUGUUGGGGUUGAGGAGACUGAGGGACAGAGAUUCAGAGCCCAUAGGUAGGCACAGCCAGGAUGCAGACAGCACUGGUAGAUGACAAUUCCCAUGUGGUCACAAGCUCAGAGGAACAGCCUCCUCUGUGCCCAGGACCAGCUGCUCAGCCCCGUAAACUAGUUCUGAUUCAAUAGCAGAAGACAGAGGAUCCAAGUUGUAAAAUCAUAAAAUGUCAGCAUCAAACCUUCUAAUGUAGCAAAAGUGAUGUCUCAGUAACUCCAGUCUACAUCAUAAGAAGCCUUAUUGCUUCCACUUGGGCCUCUUGGGAGGCUCUCUCUCAGAAUCCAGGUGCCCUACCAUGAGAAGCCCAAGCCAUGUGGAGAAGCCAUGUCUAGGGACUCCAGUUAACACUCUCAGCUAACAGUCAGCAUCAACUGCCAGCCACCUCUGCCUAAAAGUGGGCCAUCUUGGGCAUCCGGCCCACUCAAGCCUUCAGAUGAGUCCGUCCCAGUCACUAUCUCACCCAACCACAUGAGAGACACCAAGAACUCCCAGUGGAGUCCAGUCAGCCCAUGGAACUGUAAGAGAUAAUAAAUUAUUGUUUUACAGUACCAAAAAAAUUUAAAGAAGUAUAAUAGCAAUAUCAUCUUACUGAUGUGAAGCAGAAGCUCAGAAAUGCUAUGUAACUUAUCCAAGGUCACACAAUGAGUUAGAGGCAGAGUGCAGUGCAGCUAACUAUCGUCACCCUUCGUCAGCAUCAGAGAUGAUAAAAGGAAGUGAUCCAUCUGGGGUGGGAGUGGAAGGGGAGAGAAGGAAGAUAAAUCGUGUAGGAAACAUCCCAACUUAAUUCUGCUUAAAAUGAAACUAUUUCAAAUGUGUAUGUAUUUUUAAUUUUCAAAGAGUGUCUUAUGACUUCUCACAGUUUACAGAGUUAAUUGUUCUAUAUUUCAGACUUGCAUUUAUUUUGUUUUCUCUUCCCCCUUGAGAUAAUUAACCACAAGCUUACCUGAGUACACUUUUUAUGUCAAGAAGACAAUGGCUUCAAAGGAAGUGAAAGGGCAGCCCUACGGGGGGCCCAGAAAAGACGGCCAGGUGACAAAAGCACAGCCUCCUAGGAAAGCAUUCACAUUUCCUGAAUGAUCCGUCAUCAAAAAUGCAUGUGCAAGCAGGAGGGCAACCAACAGAGUCAGGGCAAAUGCAGCCAGGCCAGCCCCUGCACCCAACCGCACCAGGAGGACUUUGAUCUGAAACACACCCAUACCCAGGCGAAAGCAACCCUUCUUCCCCAAAUCACUGCCAUCUGUUUGGCAAAACCAGAGGUCUAAAGGAAAAUCUUGGAUUUGGCUUUUUUUUCCCAGCCCCCUAAAUUUAAGCAACAUUAAUUUUUUAAAGGCCUGUCCUGCUCUCUAUACUGCAAUGGAAGAUCCAGGGACACAGCAUUUCAUGGUAAGAUUAGAACCAGGCCAUUUUGUUCUUAAUUUCUACCUUGGAGUUGAUGGGAAAAGGUGUUGGCUUCACACUUGGACAGUCCUGGGACUGGGCCCAGUAUCCCCUCAUUUGUUCUGGAGCAUUGCUGCGAGAAGCCAUCAUUUUUUGUUUAUGUCCCUGGGGUUUUAUUUAUUUCACCUUGUGUUUAAUCUUUCCAGCAACCCUAUGAGGGAAGUACAUUACCUCAUUUCAAGGAUAAGGAAUUUAAGUCUCAAAAAGAAACACACACUCCAAGUAGCAGAGCUGGGAUUCAAACCUUGGUCUGCCCAAUUCCAGAGAUCUGCUCUGAUAUAAUUUGGCUGUGUCCCCACCCAAACCUCAUCUUAAAAAUUCCCACUUGUUGUGGGAGGGACAUGGUGGGAGGUAAUUGAAUCAUGGGGGCAGGACGUUCCCAGACUAUUCUCAUGGUAGUGAAUAAGUAUCAUGAAUCUGAUGAUUUUUAAAAUGGGAGUUUCUCUGCACAAGCCCUUCUUCUCUUGUAUGCUGCCAUGUGAGACGUGACUUUCACCUUCCACCAUGAUCCUGAGGCCUCCCCAGCCACAUAAAACUGUAAGUCCAUGAAACCUCUUUCUUUUGUAAAUGGCUCAGUCUUGGGUAUGUCUUUAUCAGCAGCAUGAAAACAAACUAACACAUAUUCUUUCCUGUAUACUGAUUCUAUCAGUUACAAACUGCUUUAAUAAUGCUGUGAAAUAAAUAAUCACAAAACCUCAGUGGAAUAGAAUAGUAAGGCUUUAUUGCUCACAGGUCUGGGAUGGUUGGCUAGGUGGUUCUGCUGAUCAUGGCUGGGUUCAUUAACAUGCUUAGGGCUGGGUCAACUGACCUAGGCUGGCCUCAGCUGGAACAGCUAGGAUGACUCAGCUCUGCUCCAAGUGUCUCUAAUUCUACCCUAAGCAUAUUCUCAUGGCCAUGGAAGGUGUACAAGAGAGAAGGCAAUCAUGAUUAGUUGCACAAGUAUUUUCCAAGGUUUUGCUUACAUUAUGCUUGCCAUUAUUAUCCUAUUGGACAUAGCAAGUUAUAUUGCUGAGCUCAGAAUCAGAAAAUGACAUUGUAGAUGAAUGUCAAAAGGUGUGGGUACAGGGAAGGGUGGACAUUUGGAGCUCAUUUUGCAAUCUACCACAUGAUCUUGGGUAAGUUACAGUCCCCUCUCAGAGCCUCUAGUAUCUACUUUGUACAGCAGCUGAGCUCCUUAAAUAAGAUAAGCUGUGUGAAACACUAGCAAAGUGAGAAGUGCUCUUCCUACUGAUGUAUUUCAAGUGUACAAGCCUGGGGUUGUUUGUACACAAUAAUGGAGAUACAUGAAAAAGUCAGUUUCUAUUUCCAGAGUCUAGAGGAUUCUACCCAAAUCUCAGAGGUGAGAUGGCCCAAUCACUGAGAUGAUAAACAAGAACUGUAGAAAGAGAAUAAAUCAAGGAAGAAAACAAUAAGUAAAUGAUGUAAUUAAAGUUACUGUUGAAGAACCUAUCAAGGAGAGAAUGAGUCAGUGGCAAGUUUUAAGCAAUGAAUCAGGCACAAUGUCAUGUUUCUAGAAUUCUUGUCUAUUUCAAGAAAGUCUGAUGACCCAGUUAAAAGAGCACCUUGAGCCUGUAGCAACAACAUCUGGAAGGAAACACUCUUAUAAUUUUAAUUUCUCCCGGGUGCUGCCACCAACAACAGGAGCAGCACCUGGGUAGCACAGAGUAGGCACUCUGUAAAACCUCCCAUGGAAGAGCCGAAAACUACAGCAUUACCUCAAAUUUAUUCAAGGGGAUUUUCUAUUUUUAUUUUUGCUGGAUUUAAAACAUUGUUUUUAUGGGCACAAUGUAACUAAAAAUAUGACCACCAUAACAUACUUAAACCAAAAAACAAAUAUUCAAACCACAGGUCCUAUGUCAAAUCACAUCACUCUUUUUUAUUAUUUUUUUAUUUUUUUAGAGACAGGAGCUCACUAUGUUGCUCGGGCUGGUCUCAAACCCCUGGGCUUAAGGGAUUCUCCUGCCUCAAUCACAGCCUCCCAAGCAGCUGAGAGAAAAGAAGAAAAGUCUUCUUUUCUCCCCCAGCUUGAUUGAGGUGUAACUGACAAAAUUAUCUAUACUUAAACUGUACAAUGUGAUUUUUGAUAUGUGUAUAUAUUGCAAAAUGCUCACCACACACAGCCGAUAAUCUAACAAAUCCAUCAGCUCACAGAGUUUCUUAAUCUUUUUUUUCCUUAAGACAGCGUAUCACUCUGUUGUCCAAGCUGGAAUGCAAUGACGUGAUCUCAGCUCACUGCAACCUCCCGGGCUAAAGCAAUCCUCUUGCCUCAGUCUUUCAACUAGGUGGGACUACAGGUACACACCACCACACCUGGCUAAUUUUUUUGUAUUUUUAGUAGAGGAGGAGUUUUACCGUAUGGCCUAGGAUGGUCUCAAACUCCUAGGCUCAAGCAAUCGGCCCACCUCAGCUUCCCAACGUCUUUUUUUUUUUUUUUUUUUUUUUUUUUUUGGUGAGAAUAAUUAAAACCUAUUCUCUAUCAUUUGAUCAGAAAAUUCUUUUUUCUUAGAAAUUAGUAGUAAACUUCAGCCAAGUUGAAGGAUUUCAAUUUUUAAUAGGCACAGUCUUAAUCUGUAGUGUUUUGCUACAGAAAAUAGGAGUCCACAAAUAACUUCACUACAUCAGAGCAUUCCAAGCAUAUCAGACAGAGUGAUUCCUUUCUAUAAACAAUAUUUCAUAACAUUUCCUUUACAUCCUAAAAUGAAACUCAUAGGUAAUGUAGGCUACUUACCCAUACAAUUUCAAAAAAAUAUUUAUCUAUACCUUAACUGUAACAGAAAUAAAAAUAAAAUAAUUUAAAAUAAAAAAGACCUAUUCUCAGCAAAUUUCAAAUACACGAUACAUUAUUGUUAAUUGUAGUCAUGAUUAGAUCUCCAGAACAUAUUCUGCAUCUCUGAAACUUCGUACCCUUAGACCAACCUGUUCUCACAUCCCCCAUCCUCCAGCCCCUGGCAACCGCCAUUCUACUCUCUGCUCCUAAGCUUCUGACAUUUUUAUAUUCCACGUAUUAGUGAGAUAAUGCAGUAUCUGUUCAAGGGGAUUUUAAAUUAUUUUUGUAAAGGAAUUCCUUGUGCAAUACACUAUUUGAUUGUCAAAACAAGACUGUGAAUUUAGUGCAGGACAAUGUGAAUCUAGGCUAUUGAUGAGAAAACUGAGGUUCAUCUGGUCCUCUCUCUAGCAGCAAGACAAAAGUCAAAAGGCAAGCCUCUUUGGCUCUCUUUUCUGAACUAACAGGGAACUCUAUUCCAACUAUUGGUAACUAUUUUACACUCUGUAAGAAAUAACACUGGGCCAGGUACAGUGGCUCACACCUGUAAUCCCAGCACUUUGGGAGGCCGAGGCAGGUGGAUCACAAGGUCAAGAGAUUGAGACCAUCCUGGCCAACAUGGUAAAACCCCAUCUCUACUAAAAAUAUAAAAAAUUAGCUGGGCAUGGUGGUGCACGCCUGUAAUCUAGUUAUUUGGGAGACUGCGGCAGGGGAAUUGCUUGAACCUGGGAGGCGGAGGUUACAGUGAGCAGAGAUCACACCAUUUCACUUCAGCCUGGUGACAGAACAAGACUCUGUCUCAAAAAAAAAAGAAAUAAAUAACACUGAACCCUUAUUGAGCACUUACUUUAUAAGCAAAGCAGCUCAUUUAAUCCUCGUCACAAACUGAGAGGUCAGUCUAUGUGCAUUCCUUCCAUUUCACAGAUAAGGGGAAAUUGGAGCUCAGAGAUUUAAGCCACCUGCUGGAGGUCACAUGGCUCAUAAAAGGUGAACCAGGAUUCACACUCAGGUCUUCAUGACUUCACACACCAAGCUCAACACUGCCCUUAUGAAUAAACUUGGCCCCACACACAUAGAUGUUUUGCCCAAUUACUCAGAAAACACAUUUUCUCACCUGGAUUCUGCACUUCAUUUUGCCUGCUUAGUCACUGCCUCUAACCAACACAACUCAAGCCAGAGGGGCAAGCCAUGUUGGCUCAGCAAACCUAAGCUGUGACCCUGAGCUGCUGACAGAAUGUCUGAUAUUUAUAGCAACUUAGAAUUCAGCACCAGGAAAAGUGCGUUCUGGACUCUUGCAAAUGUCCUCAGGGAGAAAGAAAACAUCUCUAUGAAAAAUUGUGUGGGAUGCUUAACUGAUGGAACAUCAAACAUGAAAAGACAAUUCAAUGGGUUUGCAUCCUGGUUAAAAAAUAAUAAAAGGAUGGUUCAGCCAACCUCUGUGGAUAACAUUCUUCAGACGUUUAGGGUAUAGCCACGGGAGAAGACCCAUCACUAGCUGAAUUGAUAAAUUGCCACCCUGUACUUUAACUAUUUUUAUGUAUGCUUCUUUUUAUUGAUUUAGAUGUGUCCCAUUCCAUGAAGGGCUUAAGCCUAAAGAUUUAAGUUGUGAAGACGAGGGUGGAUUGAUUCUAUGAAUGGCUGCAUUUUUUUAUACCUCCCUGUUCUCUUGUCUUCGGGCAGUUUCCUCCCACACUGACUGUGCUUGACACUGUGACUUGCUUUGGCCAAUGGUACAGCAGCAAACUGGAUGCAAACACAACUUGAGAAAGAAGAGGACAACCAAGUCAUCCCAGCCAAGGCCACCCUGGACCAGCCAGCCUCUGGCCAAGCUGCCAGUGACCACAGAGCCCAAUUACCAACAGCCAGUCCUGACCCAGGUCAGCAGAACUACCCAUAAACCCAUGAGAAAGAACGGAUUGUCAUUUAAAGCCAUGGUUUUGGGGGUGGUUUGUUGCACAGCACAAACUGACUGAUACAGAAACUUACAUUCUACAAAAAUGCUAUUAAUCAACAAGGAUGUUAAGAUGCAAUCUCAGCCCAGCAGGGGUGGCUCACACCUGUAAUCCCAGUACUUUGGGAGGCCGAGGCAGGUGGACUCCCUGAGAUCAAGAGUUUGAGACUAGCCUGGCCAACAUGGUUAAACCCAGUCUCUACUAAAAAUACAAAAAUUAGCUGGGUGUGGUGGCGGAUACCUGGAAUCCCAGCCAUUCGGGAGGCUGAGGCAGGAGAAUUGCUUGAACCCGGGAGGCAGUGGUUGCAGUAAGCUGAGAUCGCGCCAUUACACUCCGGCCUGGGUUACAAGAGUGAAACUCCGUCUCAAAAAAGAAAAAACAGAUGUGAUCUCCACCUGCUAGGAGCUUUGUAUUUACUUGUGGCAGGACAGAAAAAGGAAAAAUACCAGCAAGAUCUAAUUAAACGAUGAGGAAAUUGUUUUUAUCCUACUCCCUCUACCAGGCCAAGCUCAAAUGCCAAUUUCCUCAUGGAAACUUUCACUCCUCCAUCUCUUCACCAAGUCAAAAUGUUAACUUCUGCUUCUCUGGGACACUUUGGACCUUUGUUUAAAGCUCUCCCAUCUGCUUUUUGCGCUAUGUUUAGGGUUAUGACUGGAUGGGCAUAGGUCUGUGUCUUCCACUACUGGUAAAAUUGGUUCCUGCUUAGCAUUAUGUGGGCUUCCCACAUCCGGCACAGUGAUUUGCACAUGUAUGAGCAAUCUUGAUCAAUGUUUGUUGAAUGAAUAGACAAAUAGAUGUUCUAAGAGUUUAACAUGAGGGAAAACUCCAAGCAGAAAUGUGGUAGUCAAGGAGGGUUUAAUUAAGGAAGCAGGAGUUAAGGUCCUCGAUGGGGACCUCCCAUUAAGAACUCACAGAAUUCGUGGGCAGAAGACUUAGAUGAGGAAAAAUUUAUGUCUUCAGAGUCACUGAUCUCUAACUGAAACUUCCCAUUUUCUUCCUUUAUAAAUGUAGUCUACAAACCACAAAAGCAGAUGUAAGGAUACUUUCCCAUCACAUGUAACACUGCAGAUAUUGGAGAGAGGAACAAAAUAUCAUUCAUGUACAUCACUACAGUACUUUGAAAUUGUAGUGGCUUUCUGGCCAUGCAUGGUGGCUCACACCUGUAAUCCCAGCACUUUGGGAGGCUGAGGCAGGUGGAUCACUUGAGACCAGGAGUUUGAGACCAGCCUGGGCAACACCUCAUCUCUACAAAAAAUAAAAAAUUUAGCCAGAUGUGGUGGCGUGUGCCUGUGGUCCCAGGUACUCAGGAGGCUGAGGUGGGAAUAUCUCUUGAGCCCAAGAGUUGGAGGCUGCAGUGAGCCAGAUCGUGCCACUGGACUCCAGCCUGGGCGACAGAGACACAAAAAAAGAAAAAGAAAAGGAAAGAAAAAAAAUUAUAGUGGUUUUUUUAUGUGUUAAUAAAGAAGGACAGUAUUCUCACAUCACAAAUUUGGUUUUUUGAAUAUCUUAGUAACUGCUUUCAGUUUCUUUUAUAAUCCUCUGUAUUUUAUGUCUUUAAAAUCGUUUUUUUGAAGAGAGGUCUAAUAGGCUUUAUAAAACCACUAAAUGGCACCCAUGGCACAAAAGUGGUUAAGAUCUCCCUACCUUGGAGAAUAUGUAGAUUGUUAUUACAGUGAUGGGAGAGAAGCAGAUAUCCCAAAUAGAUGACCAGUGACCAGAACAGCCUAAACCAGGAAACUAGCGGGGAAGAGUAUGAGAUGCACGGUGGGAUGGAACGUGCCUCCCCUCCCCAUCCUUGAGGAGAGUGUCUCCUUGGCAAGAUUAAGUAAAAAGACACUUUAUUAGCAUAAUAAUGCAUCACAGGAGCAAGAGAAUAGUUGAUUUGUUGUAGACAUACUCUAAGAAUCUGAAGCAUUUAAAUUCUUUUUUUUUUUUUUUUUUUUUUUUUUUUUGAGACGGAGUUUCGCUCUUGUUACCCAGGCUGGAGUGCAAUGGCGUGAUCUCGGCUCACGGCAACCUCCACCUCCUGGGAUCAGGCAAUUCUCCUGCCUCAGCCUCCCAAGUAGCUGGGACUACAGGCGCGCACCACCAUGCCCAGCUAAGUUUUUGUAUUUUUAGUAGAGACGGGGUUUCACCAUGUUGACCAGGAUGGUCUCGAUCUCUUGACCUCAUGAUCCACCCGCCUCGGCCUCCCAAAGUGCUGGGAUUACAGGCGUGAGAAGCAUUUAAAUUCUUAAGGCUCUAACAUUUCCUCUGCAGGGUGGAGCCAAGACUCUGAAGAAAGGGCUGAACUGUGAGCCUAGAAGUACCACUCCCCCUGCACACACCUUUGGGCAAGCUGACCCCAAAAAGAAGGACAGGUCCUCUGCACAGUGAUGAGGCCAUACACACAGUCUAUGGCCCGGCUUUGGGAGGCCGAUGGGAUACGGGAUGCUUUGCGCUAUCCUUGGUCUCUGAGCAAAUAUAUAAUGGGUUCACACGAAGGCUCUCUUUUCAAUAAAUGUGACUGCGACAGUGUGCCCUCCCAGAUAUUUCAGGCAUAACACAGGAGUGACUGCACAUUUAGGGAUAGUGUGAAGACCACUCUGAUUAGAUCAGAGGGUGUAGACUGGCUCAUGAUGUAAAAGCUGAAGGGAGGGCAGUAAUGAAUGGGGAGACGCCUCCAGGGUUUCAAGUGCCAUGGAUUAAGGCAGGGAGUGAAUCGGGGAGCCAGGACAGAUGGCUGGGUCUGUCUUAGAGGUGAGGCACCUUCAAGACGUCUCGGAGAAAACACCCUGGAGUCCAUCAGGUCUCAAAAGUAGGACUCCAGGGAGACACUGGCAUGAAAUGGGAAGAGAGCUAAGAAAAUAAUCCACAUAGAAGCAGUCAUUAACGGCAUAAAGAAUAAAAGCAAUAAAGUUUAAAAAAAAAAAAAAAAAAAGCAAGAAGUGAACCUUAGGGAACAAAUAAGUAGGCUUCUUUUGUGUCCCAAAGCCAGAGUAGAACAUUUCUAGAAGACAAGUUAAAUUCAGCCUGAAGAAAGAAAUUGCACAAGGUCUCUGGAUGUGGCUACCGGGAAGGCCUUGGUAAAUUCUGAGCGAGCCAUUCCCACGGACGGAGCAGUGGAUGGAGGCCAGCUGAGGACUCCCGGGUUAGAGGGUGGGUGGAGCAGCCAACGGAGGCAGGCAGGAGAGGGUGGGAGCCAAUGAAAUGGAGAGAGGGAGGCUAGGAGAUUUGCAGGCCAACAGCAUCACAUUAAGUUUCUUUUUAACAAGACCAUCCAGUUUUUCAUUAGAGAAAGAAGGAAACUGCAAAUCAGGGGUAUUUAAAGGUCGUGUGAAAAUCAUGAAAACCUCAAGUUGAAUCUGUUCCCACCUAAAUAACUUUUGUUUAGAAACCAAGCAAAGCCACAGAAACCAUCUCGGCACAGAUCCCAAAACGGAAUUACUCGAUGUCCCUGAAAUGGUGUUUGUGCCAUGAGCCAUUGUGCUAAUACACAGUGUGUCCACACAGAGGGUAAGGACACCAGAGUCCGGUGGUGUCAGAGACAAAGGCCAGAGCUUCCCAGAAGGUUCCAUAAGGACAGGAAUUCAGGAAGUGAGGUUGAGGGAACAAGGCAGGUAAGAUCACUUGAGGCCAGGAGUUCAAGACCAGCCUGGGCAGUAUGUCAAAACCUCAUCUCUAUUAAAAAUACAAAAAUUAGCUGAGUGCGGUGGCACACACCUGUAGUCCCAGCUACUAGAAAGGCAGAGGCAGGAGGAUCACUUGAGCCCAGGAGAUGGAGGUGUCAGUGAGCUAAGAUCGCGUCACGGCACCCCAGCCUGGGUGACAGAGUGAGACCCUGUCUCUAAAUAAAUAAAUGAAUAAAACAAAACUAAAUAAUAUGUAUAUUAUUCAAUCUCUUGGCUUGUCAUCUAAGCCUUGGUGUGUUUAGAGAAAUUUCGUUCCAUUCCCUCUUCCCCUCCCUCCAUGCUCCCAAAAUAAUAUCUCAAUCUUUUAAAAUCCACAUUCCACAUUUUCAUUUUUAUGAAUACAAAAAUAUAUUUUAUGCCUGGGCCAAGUAGCACCCGACGAUCUUACUUCCUUUCCUUUGUGUUCCCCCUCCUAACAAUCACCUCAUUUUUCAUCAACUUACAUCUGCUUGUUGUUGUCGUUGAAAACAAUUGAUGAAAUCUUUCCAUGCCCUCAAUAUCAUUUUCCACAUGAGCAAACCUGUCAGAUCAUUUGUUAGGCCAAGUUAUUUUCCUGAGGACAAACUCCCCCAGCCCGUAGAGCCUUCUGACUCCUGCUGAUCUGGGCAGCUUGCUCUCAGGUCCAAAACAUAGCUGUCUUCUGGUGUCCCUGGAGCCACGGCCCAAAGAAUUCCCUUCUCUCUUCCCUCCUGUGUUGCAAUCCUUGUUCCUGGAUCUAUCUUCUUUCUUGAAGCCCUGAUUUAAAUUAAACGCAUCCUUCAGUAGUUCCCUAAGAAAGCUACAUGGGAGGCAAGUUAUCUGAAGACACAGUAUGUCUAGAAAGCUCUUUAUUUCUCCCAUCAUAUUUAAUUGACAGUCUGGGUUGGUGUGGAAUACCAGGUGGAAAAACAUUUUCAGGCAGAAUUUUUUUUUUUUUUUUUUAGUUGGAGUCUCACUCUGUCACACAGGCCGGAGAGCAGUAGUGCGAUCUUGGCCUCCCAGGUUCAAGCAAUUCUGCCUCAGUUUCCCGAGCAGCUGGGACUACAGGCCUGUGCCACCACAUCUGGCUAAUUGUUGUAUUUUUAGUAGAGACAGGAUUUCACUGUGUUGAUCAGGCUGGUCCCCAAUGCCUGACCUCAAGUGAUCCACCCACCUCAGCCUCCCAAAGUGCUGAAAUUACAGGCAUGAGCCACCGCUAAUGAGCCAGUCUCAGUCAGAUUUUUGAAAGGCAUUGCUUCCUUGUCUUCAAACUUUCAAUGUCGCUGUUGAGCAGCUUGAUGCCAUAGCCACUCCAGAGGCUUCCUUUGCAUGGACUAGGAGGAAGUGAGUGAAGCACAUACCUGAGAUGCAGGCACGCAAGGGAGUGCCAAAAAAUUCAGCCACUGAAAUGCCAACUUCAAAUAAAGAUGGGAUCUGAACCUGCAGUCACUCAGCUCAACCUCACUCACCUUGCCCAAAUCCCAGUUUUGCCAGAUCAUGUCUUUACUUAAAAUUUUGCUGUUUGUUUAUCAUGGGUUACUUUCCCUUUUUUUUUUUUUUUUUUUUUUUUUUUUUGAGACAGAGUCUUUCUCUGUCACCAGACUGGAGUGCAGUGGUGCAAUCUCUGCUCACUGCAACCUCCAACUCCCAGGUUCAAGUGAUUCUCUGCCUCCGCCUCCUGAGUAGCUGGGAUUACAGAUGUGCAUCACCAUGCCCAGCUAAUUUUUGUGUUUUGGUAGAGAUGGGGUUUCACCAUGUUGGCAGGGCUGAUCUUGAACUCCUGACUUCAAGUAAUCCACCCACCUCGGCCUCCCAAAGUGCUGGGAUUACAGGCUGGAGCCACCACACCUGGCCUCUUUUUUAAAUAGUGCAUUAAUCUUUUUAUCUUGAUCACUGAGUUUUUUGGUGCCCCCUUAAAUUUUACCCACAAGGCCAGUGCCUCACUGGUCUCAUUGCAGUCCCAGCCAGCUCUCUCCAGACACCUCACAGAGCUGCCUUGAUGCCUGCAUAUGAAAGGGUGUCAUCAUGAGCCGGGAUGUGGAUUUUUUUUUCACUGAUUGAGUUGGAUACACGGUGGAUCUUGCCAUCUAGGAACACAUGUCCUUUAAUUCCGGGAAAUUUUCUUGUAUUAUUUCCUUGACAAUUUCAUUCCUUCCUCUCUCCAUUUCUGGGACUCCUAUUAGCUAAAUGUUGGACCUCCUGGAUUUAUUCCUUAAUAAUACGUAUAUAUUUUCAGAUACAGGUCUUGCUCUGUCACCCAGGCUGGAGUACUAUGGUGAAUCAGGGCUCACCACAGUCUCAAACUCCUGGGCUCAAAUGAUUCUCCUGUCUCAGCCUCCAGUAGAAGCUAGGAGUACAGGUGCACAACCACGUGCAACUAAUUUAUUUUCUGUAGAAAUGUGGUCCUACUCUGUUGUCCAGGCUGGUCUGAAACUCCUGGCCUCAAGCAAUCCUCCCACCUCAGCCUCCGAACGCUGGGAUUGCAAGCAUGAGUCACCACACCCCGCCUGAUCCUCUAAUUGCGUACGCUUUCUCUCCUGCCUCUUCUCUCCUUCAUGUCUUCGUCUCUCUUUGUUAUAUUUCCAGAGGAAGUUCCAACUCUUGAUAUUUUUGAAGAUUUCUACCAUCAGGAUUUUUACUUAUAAGCGUUCAUUCUUUUUCUCUAUUUCUUUUUGAUUUGACUCUUAUUUUUCAUGGGUGCAAUAUGUUCUUGUAUCUCUCUAAGGAUAUCAGUUAUGGUUUCUUCAAACUUGUAUUCUGCUCCCUGCAUAAUCUCCAUUUCCUGUUGGUUCAUAUCUUCUUGGAAUAAUGAGAGAAAGUGUCCCUCAAGUGUCCGUGAUCCCUGGCUGUGUGUUCGUGUUUAAGGGUUCCCCACCGCAGGGCGGGUUGGAGGCAGGAAGUGCCUGAGUGUGGCGUGGGAGGAACUGGACACUCAGUUGCUCCCACCAGCUUAUCUGCUGCAGACCCCUGAGCAUAAGCAACUGGCAAUCAUUUCUUUGGGGUUAAUUCCUUCAGGGAAAAGAUACUUCAGUCUUUGCAUGGGGUUAGUGCAGGGUGCAGGCAUAAGCCUGAUUCUGGUACCCUGGAGGUGGGUGGGGAAGGAGGCUGGUAGCCUUUAGUAGGACAUCUCACCCCUUCUCUUCACACUUGGCAUCGCUGAGACCAGGACCUCUGGUCUCUUAUGGGAGUAAGGGGGACAGUCACCUGGCUGCAUAGGAUGGAGGCGGGGCUUGGAGGUUACACGGACUUUCAAACUAGCCCCUACCCUUAUUUUCAGGCCCUGUCCCACUUCUUGUGAUACCUGGCGCCUCUACAGAAACCCAGCUCGCUUCUCCAGUCUCUUCCCCACUCAUAAGUACAGAGGUUUGAGCUUCCUCCUCUCUGCUGAGCCCUUUAUCCUCCUCUGGCAGCUUCCCCCUCCAUGUAUUGAGAUUCAGGAGUAGAGACAGCUCCAUAUUCCACCAAAGAUGGGGUUCGGGCUUCUGUUCUUUUUCUCCUGUGGUUUCUGCACGGUUUUUAGGAGGGAAUGGAGCGGAAACCUCUUUCUUCUACCAUCUUGGAAAGUCCUGGGCAAAAUGUGACAUGGGGGAUAGGAGCUGACCAGGCAGAUGAGGCAGGGAAGGGCAUUCCUGGCAAAGAGAGCUGUGUUCACAGGCAAAGAGGAAUAAAGAGAGCCUCCUGGAGUUAGCAAGGCUGAAAGCAGGGAGAAGCUAGAGCCUGAGCUAAGGAACUGGAUCCAGAAGGGCUUUCGUGGGCCAGGAAGUUUCUCCUUGAUCCUGGGGCAAAUGAGGAGCAGGAGGAGAGGAGCCCCUUGGCCACAUCUGCCCGGGGCCACAGCAUGGCAGAGGGGCUGGGGAGCAGAGCGUGGUGGGACGUGAGGGGACAGGCACGAUGAGAGGAGAGAGGCCCCUGGGGGAUGUGGAUGUGGGAAUGGAAGGAGGAUUACUCUGAAAGCUGGCUCAGAGCUGGAACCAGCAAGACUAACAGGAAUAGGGCAUGAGGGCAGAGGGAGAAGCUUGGUUUGAAUCAAGUUUCUGGUUUGGGCAACAGAGUAGGUGGCAAGGCUAUUGACAGAGAUGGGGAAACGCUGGGGGAGAAGGCAGUGUGGGGAAAAGUCUAUUUGCAUCUAUAUUACAUUCCUCCAAAUCCCAUCUCUGAGAAGUCCACACUGCCAUUAUAUAGUCGCAGUCAAUAUCCACAUAGCAUUGUGGGUCCUGCUUUUUUCCCUUAGCAGUACGUCUCCAGUGCCACCAGAAUCCUCAAUGUCCUCUUUUGAUGUGGCCGCAGAGUACUGCAGCAUGUUAAUAAAUGCACUGGUUUCACCUCCUUAUCCCUGUACUCUGGGCAUUCUGAAGAGAACUGUGAUGGCCACCACGUUGUCCUCAAUAGGGCCUCCGAGUGGCUCCAUAGCCCAGGUCUCCUGCCUCCUCCAAGGCUGAGGACCCCCCGAGGGUGGCCGCUGCAUCUGCUCUGACAUCUCUGGGGAAUGUUGAGGAAGAAUGAUUGAGACCUCACAGUCCCUGUACCUCACUGAUCCCCAAAACUGUCCCUGAACCUCAGAGGAACUUAAUUCCUGCUCUGGUCCCCAGGCAACAGUGAUUCUCCCAGGUUAGGAUAGAGCAGGGACCUCACUCUUCCUCCGCCUGAACUCUUACCCCUUCCCAGUGGCCAUGCUAUUUUCUUUUUCUUUUUCUUUUGAGAUGGAGUCUCGCUCUGUCUCCUAGGCUGGAAGUGCAGUAGUACGAUCUCAGCUCACUACAAUCUCUGUCUCCCAGGUUCAAGUGAUUCUCCUGUCUCAGCCUCCGGAGUAGCUGGGGCUACAGGCACCCACCACCAAACCCAGCUAAUUUAUGCAUUUUUAGUAGAGACAGGGUUUCACCAUAUUGGCCAGGCAGGUCUCGAACUCCUGACCUCUGGUAAUCCACCUGCUUUGGCCUCCCAAAGUGCUGGGAUUACAGGCAUGAGCCACAGCACUCGGCCAGGCCAUGCUGUUUUCUGCUGCCACCCUCCCCAGUAGUGGCCUCCCUCACAUCUCCUCUCAAGAAGGUCUCAAAUACAUGGGUCAAGUGAUAUCAGGGUUGCCCCAGACCUAAGAACAGUGGUGCCCCCAGAGGGAAGCUGGAGCCCUGUGGCAGAAGUGGAGGAAGAAGAGAGGACCAAUCAGUUGUUAUGGCAACCAGGGCUCCCAAGAUGGAGGGAUGGGAAAAGGCGGCCCUGCUCAAGAGUUGCCAUGGCAACCCAGAGCCUCUAGGCCAGCUUUGAAGACAAAAACCACAAACCCCCACUUAACAAAGAAAGUACCCAGGACUCCUCAGGAUUCUUUGCAAUUCAGAGUGUCAAACCAAACAGGUCAAGGUCUCCUGGUCUCACAGUUGACUUCAUAGACUUUUUGGGGGCUGAAGGUCUGCUCCUUUUCUGGAAAAAUACAGAACGAGGGCUUGACAACCCAUAGGUUCACUCAGCAAGCAUUUACCUAGCCUACCGCAUUCCAGGGCCACAGCAACAAAUUAAGAUCCAGACCCCGCUUUCAAGGGAGGAAGACAGAUCUUUCCACAUCAGUGUAAGACUUGCUGGGAGAGGUAAAUAGUUCAACCUUCUCUGACGACAGUUUGUCAGUAUUCAUUAAAAACUUUAAGUGGAUGUUCUCUGCGACCCAGCAAUCGCAUUUCUACCACUCUACCUGCAGAAAUAUUUGAAUCUGAAGGUGAUCUUCGCAGCAUUAUUUAUAGCAAUAGAGAAUGGAAAACAACCUAAAUACCUCGUAGUGGAGGCCAGUUACAUCAGUUUUGGUACAUGAAUACAUGUUGAAUGAGCAAAGGCGUACGUGCGUAAGAACACAAGGAACCGUUAGCAGGCAUUACCCAGGAGUCACCGGACUGACCAAUAGGGUUAGAGAGGGGGGAUGUUUCACUUUUACUUCUGAACCAUUUGGAAAUGUUACAAGAGUGUGCCUUUGCGUUGUUUUGUUUGUUUGUUUUUUAUUUUAAGAGAUGGGCUCUUGCUCUGUCACCCAGGCUGGAGUGCAGCAGCACAUCACGGCUCAUUGCAGCCUUGACCUUCCAGGCUCAAGUGAUCCUCCCACCUCAGCCUCCCGCGUAGCUGGGACUACAGGUGUGCACCACCACGCCCAGUUAAUUUUUUGUAUUUGUUUAGAUUUUUGUUGUUUGUUUGUUUGUUUUGAGAUGGGGGUCUCACUCUGUCACCCAAGCUGGAGUGCAGGUGGCAUGAUCUCGGCUCACUGCAACCUCCACCUUUCAGGUUCAAGCAAUUCUUAUGCCUCAGCUUCCUGAUUAGCUGGGAUUGCAGGUACCCACCACCACAUCCAGCUAAUUUUUGUAUUUUUUAGUAGAGACAAAGUUUUGUCAUGUUGGCCAGGCUGGUCUUGAACUUCUAACCUCAGGUGAUCCACCCACCUUGGUCUCCCAAAGUGUUUUUGUAUUUUUUUGUAGAUAUGGAGUCUUCCUAUGUUGCCAGGGCUAGUCUUGAACUCCUAGAUUCAAGUGAUCCUCCGACUUGGCCUCCCAAAGUGCUGAGACUACAGGAGUAAGCUACCACAGCCAGCCUAUUUUUAUAACUUAAGGAAAAAGCUAAAUGUUUGCUAAUAUAUGAUCGAUAAUACAAAGGGAUUUAUAGUAGUGAAAAUCAAGUAUAUUAACUGAUUAUGAUGCAAUUAAAAAAAAAAAAAAAGCACAGGCUGGGCCUGGUGGCUCAUGCCUAUAAUCCCAGCACCAAGGAGGGUGGGUCACUCGAGGUCAGGAAUUCGAGACCAGCCUGGCCAACACGGUGAAACCCUGUCUCUACUAAAAAUACAAAAAUUAGCCGGGCAUGGCGCUCGUAAUCCCAGCUACUCGGGAGGCUGAAGCAGGAGAAUCUCACACCCGGGAGACAGAGGUUGCAGUGAGCUGAGAUUGUGCCAGUGCACUCCAGCCUGGGUGAUAGAGUGAGACCCCGACUCAAAAAAAAAAAGAAAAGAAAAACAAGCACAAACACAUUUACAAUGGGAGCACUAAGAGAGGAGAGGAGAAGUAAGUUGGGUGGGAAGAAGUUAGAUCUUACAGGUUGCAGAAAAUGUCACCAUCAGGAGAAGGAGGAAAGGCAUUUGGCUGAAGGUAGGGCAAAUGCAAAGGCUAGGAAGAGUGACAGUUCAGGUGCUCUAGAAAAUCCCAGUGGUCUCUGUGGCAGAGGUGCAGAGACGUGAUACAGACCUUACCCAGGGGCAGCAGGAAGCCAUCCCAAAUUUGGAAGUAGGAAAAGGACAUGAGGUCAGCAGAACCUAAGAAGAUCUGAUCAAGCACUAUGGCUCACACCCGUAAUCCCAGCAGUUUGGGAGGCUGAGGCAGGCAGAUCACGAGGUCAGGAGAUCAAGACCAGCCUGAUCAACAUGGCGAAAUGCCACCUCUGCUAAAAAAACAAAAAUUAGCCAGAUGUGGUGGCACGUGCCUGUAAUCCCAGCUAUUCAGGAGGCUGAGGCAGGAGAAUUUCUUGAACGCGAGGAGGCAGAGGCUGCAGUGAGCCCAGAUCUCACCACUGUACUCCAACCUGGGCAACAGAGCAAGACUCUGUCUCAAAAAAAAAAAAAAAAAUAUCUCCAGGCAGACAUGAAAGAAAAGUACCAAAGUCCGGGAGACACCUUAGGAAGCUGCUGGAAUCACACAGGGGUGACACAACAGGACUCCACCAGAGGACAGAUGGAGAGGGAGGGAAUCACAGGAAGUAUUUCAUAUGUAAAUGCUGGAGUUUAUGAUGUUUCUGAAUCCGUAGACUUACUUUCUAGAGCUAGAUGAGGUUCCUCAGCUUACAGAUGGGGAAACUGAGGCCCAGAUAGGGGAAGUGAGGGAUUCCAGGUUUGUGACUUGGAGUUUUCUCCAGGCCUCCUGGGGGAAGUGGCUAAGUCCUUCCAAGAUCUGACCUUUUUUAACUCUUAAUUCAGACAAUUCUUAACUGAGGGGGUUGGGCAAAGGUGAGGCUGCAGCCCAAGAAGCCCCUGCAGGAAGAAGAGAGACAGGAAGAGGAUGACCCCUUUGGUACCAGGAUGCUGAGCGUUCCACUCUGAGAUCCAUGCCUCCUUAGAGAGAGCACUCUUGGUCCCACACUCAAGUAUGGCUGGCCUGCAGGGAGCUUGGGGCAGUGCUCAGACCCUGGGAGGGUCGCCUGGCGGUGGGCACGGUGUCGCCACAAACUGGUCCAGGAAGUCCCUCUGUCACGUGCCUCCCCAGUGCCCAGUCCCAGGCCUGGUACCAUGGCAGCACUCGGACAAACAUGGCUCCAGACUCAGGAGUGAAGAGCCCUGGAAUCGACUACCUUUCUGUCCUGCCACUCAGCAAGCUGGCCUGGAGCUUGCCACUAGCAGUCCCAUGUAAUAAGGUCCGUGAAGGCAUGAACUCACACUGAGGAAUGCUAGGCUAAGCAUCUCCCUCUCCCUGGAGAGGAAAAUGGAAAAGUCCCGGGGGGAGUAUUAUCACAAAGCUGUCAGCGUGUCUACGUUUAUCAGAUUAGUUAAAAGAAGAGACGGGGCUGAUCGUAAUCAUUCCCGAAAUAUGUGCAACUAUUCAGCUUGCAACUACUACACAUGAGCCUCUCGUUUGACUUUCAAGAAAGAAAACAAAAACACUCAGGGCGGGUGCUGCUCUUCCAUUUCACAGAUGCAGGAAGCAGAUUCUGAGAGAUUCGGACUCAAUCCAUAUGUAUUGUGUCUAUCUCACGCCAGCCCCUGGACAGAGGUACCAGCAGCUGCUAGAAGACAGAUCUUCUCACACUGGUCCAAAAAGAUAUUCCAUGAGAGGCCGGGCACAGUGGCUCAUGCCUGUAAUCCCAGCACUUAGGGAGGCUGAGGUGGGUCAGGAUCACCUGAGAUCAGGAGUUCAAGACCGGCCUGACCAAUAUGGUGAAACCCUAUCUUGACUAAAAAUAGAAAAAUGAGCCAGGCGUGGUGGCGUGAGCCUGUAGUCCCAGCUACUUGGGAGGCUGAGGCAGGAGAAUCACUUGAACCCAGGAGGCAGAGGUUGCAGUGAGCCAAGUUCGUGCCACUGCACUCCAGCCUGGGCAACAGAGCAAGACUUCGUCUCAAAAAAAAAAAAAGAUACUCCUUGAGAACAGGGUUACAUGUCAAACAAGCUUAGGAAAUACUACAGCCUCCAUCCCUCACCCUUCUGAUGAAUCACUGUGUCUAUUAAAUCACUCAAGGCCCUCCCUGAGAAGUCCAGCUUAGCUCUGUUUAACACCUCUCCCAAGUACAUGGCCGUGGAACCCCCUUUUACACAAAACUUAUUAACAGCCUUUAGAACUUGGGAUCUGUGGAACACAUUUUGGCAAAUGCUGGCCUGCACAAGCACUAGAGAUGGGAUUUCAGACAAUUAAAUGAAGGGUGCAUCCUUGGGCAGCGUCUUGCCUCCGUCUGUCAACUCACAACAGAAGCAACUGCCUUUUCCUGGGCCUCAGAAUAUGGCAAGCUGAUGGGGCCAAGCUCUGUGGGACUUAGCUGUGGGCUCGCCUGGCAAGUCAAGGACCAAGCCUUGGCUGCACCAGAGCUCAUCUGUGGCUCUGCGACCCAUCGUUUUCAGGUGGGCGCAGGGUCGGGCAUCUGGAACAGCCAAGACACAGAUGUUCCAGCCACUCUUGGAUCCCUGCCUGGGCUUCUGCCUUCCCUAAUACCAAUAUUUGGCUGCUGCUCUCGUCUAAUUCAUAUUCCAAUGUCAACACUGCAUAAUCUCCCCCAAACACUGACAGCCUUGGAGUGGGAAAGGGGAAGGGACAGCUGAUGAGCAGGGGCGGGAGAGACACAGGUGGAGGCGGAGGGGGCGUGGCAGAGGAGGUGAGCAGAAGUCAGGAAGUCCCCCAAAUCCCCUAGCAGGCAGCACUCCCCCAGAUCCCAGCUGAGAGGAGUUCCAGAGGCACCCAGCCGCCACCCUGGGCAGUCAGCGCCACAAGACAGACAAGGGGAAGCAGAGCCCCCUCAGUGGUCAAGCUGCCUGGGAGGGGAGGUCUUAUAUGCUGUGCAGGAAAGUGAGCAGGACCUCCAGCCAGGACCCUUGGUCAAGCUCCAGCUCUGCCUCUAACUGGCUGUGUGACCUUAGGCAAGUCCCUCAACCUCUCUGGGCUUCAUUUAUUGAAUUUUUAUAAGUAAAAUUUCAAUGCUGCAAAAGAAAUAGCACUUGAAGAUGAACCCUCCCAGCAAGGCAGUUUACUUCUAGAGAAGGGUGCAGAGCACAGAUGGAGCAAUGGUGAUCACACGCUUGGACAAGCAGGGAAGGGGUACUUAUGCCUGAUGGGAGUCGUCCCUACUGCUGUGUCAUCCCCUAUUGGCUAGGGUUAGAUGGCACAAGCUAGACUAAUCCCGAUUGGCUGUUUUUUAAAAAGCAGGGGUCUGAGCUGGAGUGGCAGGGUGGGUGUUUUGGUGGGAAGGAUGGUUACAGCUUGUCUGAGCAGGUAGCCAGGGGUGAUCAGGUGACCAGGAUGAGUCAGGAUGGAACCAGGGGAGGGGGGACAGAUGUGAACUACUAAUUAGAACUGGUGUAGAAGGUCGUAUACUGGAAUUACAAGGAAGUUAAACUUUAAAAUAGAGAAUAACGAAUAAGAGAGUUGAACAUACUGACAUACUGAUCCUUUGAAGAGAAACUUGGAGUUCACUAUAACAAAACGAAGAGUUACCCAUCUCAGAGACCCACCAGAUCUAACGUUCCGAGAGGAGGUUGGAGAGCAUCAAGAGAAACAGCCCAGGUCUGAAUGCGAAACUGACGCUGUCCUAGCUCUUGUACCUCACAGGACUCCAGCAUCCUCAUCUGUAAACUGGGAGUAAUAAGAGCGGCUCCACACUCAGCAGCCCGAGCUCACUGGGAUUAAAUGAAACAGAGCGUGUACAGCACAGAUUUCCCAGCUGGGCUAUGAAGGGUAGGAAUGGCUAGAACAGUUCUGAAGACCCCAGACUCACGCUCACCAAGCACCUUCUCUCCCCUCAUCUUCCCAGGAGCUCUGUGAGGGAGAGACUGUUACUAACCCGUAUUACAGAAGAGGAACCCGAGGCUGGUAACUGGCUCACUGUUGCACAGCUGGAAGAUAAACAAGGUCUGUCAGAUGCCAGGGCCGGGGCUCGUUAGGAUCCUACAGUCUUUCUAAGCUUGGCUAAGAAGUGGGCCUGGCUGGGAGAGGGAGCAGGUCCAGGGGUGCAGAGAGGCUGAGUGCCCCUUGCGGCUGGUGGCCACCUGCACCUUCACACAGUCUCACCACUCCGUAGGCUCCUGUGUCUAUCCUGACUGGCCUCUGCCCCCAUAGGCAGCCCAGAUCCCAGCCCCACCCCACCUACCCCUACCAUGUCUGCCUUUACCACCCUUUCCUCCCACCCUCCCCCACACCCAUUCCCACGCACCUGUUCUCCCUGGUUCUCACAGCAAACUCCCUGGAAUUCAGUGACCUCCACCCAAAUUUUCCCCCAGGGCCACAUCCAAGCAGACUUCCCAAGGAGGGCUGCUGAUAAAUAUGUGUGAGAUUUGCAUGUGAUUUGCAUAUACUUCUAAGGCUCUGGAAGGCAGCUUUUAAGAGAAGCAGUAUCCAGGCUACUUUCCCCUCCUUCUUAUCUAUUUCUUCACGUUCCUUUGAGUUCAUCCCACUCCCCUCCUCUUGUCCCCCACUACUCCACCCCUCCCUGCACUGGUCCCCCUUUCCUACUUCUGAAUGUGUAACUAAACAGGAAGAGCAAGAGUUUUACAAUAGCAAUUGCUAUUUAUUAAGUAUCUACUAUCUGCCAGGCACGGCCCCUCACAACAGCCACCAAAAGUACAACUAUUUGAGGGUGUCUGAGUGGACCCAGCAAAGGGUAUCUAUCUUCCCAGCCCCUGUUCAGAACCAAGUGAGAUGAAUUUCAGACCUUACUAUUGGUGACGGUGAUUUGGGAGAAUACAUCUUAGGCAUGUGGUUCUCUUAUACUGAACCCCAGAAUUAGACAAACCCACUCACUCCCAGACUGCUGGACAUCACCGUCAGAAUCCAGCCUCCCCUCACAGAGACAGAGUGGGCCCCUGUAAAACUUGGGGCAGAGAAGAGCAUGAAGAGGAGGGCUGUCUCCGCAGGUGGGCAGACCCCCAAAGAGAAGAGAAGGAAGGGGCUGUGCUGCACAGGCAGCGACUUGGUCCCAGGCGCGCCACUCAUGCAAGUGAUCCCCUCCUCCCUGGGAGAGAUCGGGCUGGGGCCAGGCCAAGCACGUUAACAGAUGCCCCCUCUACAAGGAAGGAAAUAUCAGGAGUGGGUGAGAAGUGCUCCCCCUGUUUUACAGAGGUGAAAGCUGAGGUUACCUAACGGAGAGUUACCUGAUUUGCCUAGGGCCCCCCGGUGGGGAAUGGUGGGUGGAACCCAGAGCCUGUGGUCUUGCCCUAUCACCACAGUUACGUCUCAGAGAAAAGCUCACAGCUGAGGGGAAGGGAACAGAGAGAGCAUGGGGAGAGGAUGGAGAGAGGACGGAAGACUGUGCCAACGUGGGUCAAGUGCAGCUGGAGGAAACCUACUGUCUCCGAGCCAGAGAGUGGAAGGUUUCUGGACACCAGGGAGUCCAGGGACUCACUCUCACACAGCCCCAAGACUAAAGCAGCCCAUAAACAAGUGGGUGGCAGGGAAGACAAUAGGGAGUGGCGAGGACUGUGGCAACUGAGCAGGGCCAGGCCCAGCUCAAUCCCAGCCUCUCUUGUUCAUGCAGCAACACAGUCCCAGAGUCACUCGAUCUUUCGACUCUUCGAGAGAUGCCAGAAAUCAUAUUAUAACUUGAAAUCUCCCAAUUGUUUAUGUUGGCUCAACGUUUUAAUAAAAGAACAAACUCUAAUCAGGCAAACAGAAUGUCACUGCUUCUUGGCUUCAGCCCACUGGGCACAGCCAGCAACCUCUAAAAAUCCAAUCCCAUUGCCUCCCAAACAUGCUCGCUGGAGUGUGAGCUGCUAAGCUCCAGGACUGGCUGCCUUCGUGUCGCCUGCCAUCUCGCCAGGCAGGAGGUGCCCAGGCUCAGGGAAAAUCCAUGGAAGCCCCUCCCAGAGCCAGCAGGUAGAAACCCAGGUCUCCUGACUCCUGCUUCAGUGCCACUCCCACAAACUCACAGCUCCUCUCACUGCUUUCCAGGAGGUGCUUGCUAAAAAAUGCAGUUUUCUAGGCCGGCUCACACCUUUAGGAGGCUGAGGCAAGUGGAUCACUUGAGCUCGGGAGUUCAAGACCAGCCUGGGCAACAUGGUGAAACCCUGUCUCUACAAAAAUUAGUGGGCAUGGUGGCAUGUGCCUGUAGUCCCGGCUACUUAGGAGGCUGAGGUGGGAGAAUGGCUUGAGCCCAGGAGGUGGAGGUUGCAGUGAGCCGAGAUGGAGCCACUGCACUCUAGCCUGGGCUACAGAGGAAGAUGCGGUCUAAAAUUUAAAUAAAUAAAUAAAAAUGCAGUUUUCUGCACUGCACUUCAGACCUAGAGUCAGAAUCAUUGCAAGUGAAGGUUGGAAAUCUGCAUUUAUAACAAGCCAUCCCAGGACAUUGGGUUCCACACACUAAUGUGUGGAAAUCAUUGUAGGGACAUUGAUUACAAAGAUGAAACUGCAUUGGCAUAAGUCAGAAUGCCAGUUCUACCAUGUGACCAGAAGUCACUCUGAGUCUCUUUUCACUGAUCAACGUAAGAACAAGCCAGCCAGGAGCUUGGCUCACACCUGUAAUCCCAGCACUUUGGGAGGCCAAGGCAGACAGAUCACCUGAGGUCAGAAGUUCAAGACCAGCCUGGCCAACAUGGUGAAACCCUGUCUCUACUUUAAAAAGUACAAAAAUUAGCCAGGCAUGGUGGCACAUGCCUAUAGUCCUAACUACUUGGGAGGCUGAGGCCAGAGAAUCUCUUGAAACCAGGAGGCAGAGAUUUCAGUGAGCCAAGAUCACACCAUUGCCCUCCAGCCUGGGCAACAGAGCAAGACUCCAUCUCAAAAAAGAAUAAUAAUUAGAUGUUUUUACGAGAUGCCUCCUGCAUAUGCUUCCUUCCCAUCUCAUUACAAAAGGAAUGGAUAGGAGCCGCUCAGAGUGGCCAAUGGGGAGACCAAAUCUAAUGGGAGGGCCUCCCCAUGGAAGGGACAUCUGCACUGAGCCCUGAAGGGACAAUCCCAGGCUAGCUUCUUGAAGGAUGAGAGACCCCAUGAAGAAUAGAGCUCAGGUAUCCCAGCUGAGACCAUCCUAAGCCAACCUACAGCUGGCUGACCACCAAAUAUGUAAGCCCAGCCAAGAUCAGCAGAGCUGCCCAAUUCACCCGUAGAUCCAUGAGCUAAAUGUUGAAAAGCCUUGUUACACAGCAAUAGCUAACUGAUAGAGAGUAUUAGUGCAAUGAUGAAGAACGUGCCCAGUGCAGAGAGGAUUCGUAGGAACUGUUGAAAAACCAGCACAGGGGAAAAAAACCACAAGGAAUACUAAUAAUACUUAGCUAUAUGACAGACACUAUGCUAAGAAACAUAGUAUCACCAUUUUCUAUUUUAAAAUAUAGCAUUUGGCCAGGAGAAGUGACUGACACCCGUCAUCCCAGUACUUUGAGAGGCUAAGAUAGGCAGAUAAGCUGAGGUGAGGAGUUUGAGACUAUCCUGCCCAACAUGGUGAAACCCCAUCUCUACUAAAAAUACAAAAAUUAGCCAGGCAUGGUGGCAGGUGCCUGUAAUCCCAGAUACUUGGGAGCCUGAGGCAGGAGAUUUUUUUGAAGCCGGGAGCAGAGGCUGCAGCAAGCCGAGAUCGCACCACCACACUCCAGCCUGGGCAAAAGAGCAAGACUCCAUCUCAAAAAAAAAAAAAAAAAAAAAAAGAGCAUACAGCUUUCAAGUUUGAGACCUGAGACAUUGAUCACCACCUGCGGGGAUCUGUCCUCAGACCCUGAUGUGACAGAUGAAAAAUGCACUCACGUACACUAGAAUACAGUGAAUCUGAAUCUGAGUGGGUUAGGGAUGGUCACCAACUGCGUUCUGAGGGUGAUUGCCCUGAUCCUCCUCUCAUUUAUUCAGCAGAGAUUUAAUAACUGAGGUUCUAAGUCAACAUGCUUGUGGAUAAUUAACACGGUUAAAAGACUGGUGUUAUGAAUGAUAAAAGGUCUUGAUUCCAGGGCCCAGAAUAAGCACCAUUAACAUUUAAAUCCCCUUCCACCUCCCCCUGAGAGGGCCAUCAGCAUACUGUUUACAUGAGUAAACACUUUGUCCCCUUGGGACAAAGGGAUGUGGGGUAAACAGACUCAAUGGGGAAGGUUUUAUUAUCCUUAAUCUACCUUUUGACUUAAUGCUCUAAUCUAAGAACUGGCUGCCUUCAGCCUGUUCUAUAAGUUAAUAAAAACCUUUCGGCCUUCCAAAUGGUUACAGACUAUAUCUUAUAACCUUUCCCAAUAUUUCCCUUAAUAUUUUGCCAGCCACCCAGAGUGAAUCCCAACAUCAACCUGCCUGGCCAACAAGGCAAAGCCCCGUCUCUACUAAAAAUACAAAAAUUAGCAGCACAUGGUGGCAUAUGCCUGAAAUUCCACCUACUAAGGAGGCUGAGACACAAGACUCACUUGAACCUGGGAGGCAGAGGUUGCAGUAUGCCAAGAUCAUGCCAUUCCACUACAGCCCUGGGUGACAGAGGGAAACUCUGUCUAUAAAUACAGUUUUCAGGCCAGGUGCAGCUGGCCUGUAAUCCUUUGGGAGGUCGAGGUAGACAGAUCACUUAAGCCUAGGAGUUCAAGACAAGCUUGGGCAACAUGGUGAAACCUUGUCUCUACAAAAACAGUUUUUAAAAAUUAGCCACAUACCUGUAGUCCCAGAUACUUGGGAGGCUGAGGUGAGAGGAUCUCUUGAGCCCAGGAGGUGGAGGCUGCAGUGAGCCAUGAUCACAUCACGGCAAUGCUCGGGUAACAGCAAAAACCCUGUCUCAAAAAAACCCACAAAUACAGCUUUCCUGUCCGAAAGAAGAAACGUGCCAUGGCCACAUAGCUUAUAAAGCAGUGGACCCAAGACUUGAACCUAGGCCCAUGUCAUUUUUAAAGGUAAGGUUUCCAUUGCUGUGCUGUACCACAAGAAAGAGGGGGGAAAGCAAAACAAAUGAGUGAGAGGAUUCUUGUUACAAGUUCUGUGGCUCCAAAACUGAAAUUGCUUAACUCAGUUGAUUUAUGUCGUCAUUCAUUCAUUUAUAUUAUCUGUGUGUUAAACUUGGGUUCUUGAUGUCCAUUUUAGAACAUUCAAAACCCAUGAAAGGGUAAAGUGCUAUCAGCAUGCCAGGGCGAGGAGCCCCUAAAUCAUCUGAACUGAACAGUAAACCUUGGGAUGGGGGAAACAGAAAGAGCAUUUGAAGAUGUUUGGUAAAUUAAACUGAUUUCAAAUUCCCAGGUAUCCGCAAAAGCCCACCUCACCACCACCUCACUGCACCUGGCAGGUUUACAGCAAAGACUGAGAGAAAGACGCCAACCUUGACCUGCUGGCAGCCCUUCUGCAAACACACCAGUAUGUACACAUCCUGGUCUACACUUCCUGCUGCCCUGCUCUUUUCCCUUCUCCCUGCCUCCUGGAUUCAAGCCAUAUAGACUCCAGCAAAGUGAUGCAAAGAAAUGGUUACUAGAAGAAUCCAGGGAAGCUCACAGAACUGAGGAAAACACUGAAGAAUCAGGCGGGGAUGGAACCAGAAGCAGGGCAGCUCUGGAAAUCUCAGUUGCGGGAAACCGCGAAUGGUCUCUCUGGCUGUUUCUGCAACUGCGAAUCAGCUAUAACUAACUUCAGGCUUUGUUGUUGUUGUGUCUGCUCUGGAUUCCAUUUCAGAGACAGAAAAAGUAAAUAAUUCGGUUAUUAGCCUUGCCUGGGUUAUGUACCUUUGGCUCAGUCAUGCCAUUUGGCUAGAGGAAAGCAGGCGUCUGGGUCGAUGGCCCCAGAAUACUAAAACAGCUGAGGUGGGACACUACCAAAAAGAAAUGGGGCCAGGCACGGUGGUUACUAAUGGGUAUGGGGUUUCUUUUGGAGGCAAAACGUUCUGGCAGUAAAUAAUGGUGAUAGUUACACAACAAUGUAAAUAUACCAAAAACUACUGCAUUGGAAAAACCAUCGUAAAAGAGUGAAUUUUAUGUGAAUUCCAUCUUGAAAAAAAUGCCCUGUUUUAAAGUAUGGUACACAUGGAAUGUAUUUAUGUUAAACAAGAUGAGGCAGGGGCCAGGCACGGUGGCUCAUGCCUGUUAUCCCAGCACUUUGGGAGGCCGAGACAGGUGGAUCACUUGAUGUCAGGAGUUCGAGAUCAACCUGACUAACAUGGCAAAGCUCAGUCCCUACUAAAAAUGCCAAAAUUAGCAGGGCAUGGUGAAGCACGCCUGUAGUCCCAGCUACUCAGGAGGCUGAGGCAGGAGAAUCACUUGAACCCAGGAGGUGGAGGUUGUAGUGAGCUGAGAUAGCACCACUGCACUCCAGCCUGGGUGACAGAGCAAGACUCCCUCUCAAGAAAAGAAGAAGAUGAGGCAGGGAAUAAAAUAAAUGAGAAGGAGGGUUCUGAGUUUGUAAAGGUCUUGGAGAGUUAGAGGGGGCUUUGCUUCCCCUGAGUCUGCCCUUGCACAGCCUGACCAAAGGCAAGCCAUGUGAACGAAUGGAUGGAUGGACAAAUAAUCUCCAUCCACAGAGGGUGGUGGUGUUACCUAGUGCAACCUCAUAGAGUGGCAAUUGGCAAUAUCUAUGAAAAACUAAAAAUGCUCAUACCUCUUGCCUCAGACUUUCUAUUUGGGGAACUAUAGCCUUCAAAAUGACUCUCAAAAGUGUGUAACAAUAAAUACAAGUACGUUCAUUGCAAUGUUUUUUGUAAUUGAGGGGAAAUAGAUAAAUAUUACCUAGCAACUGAGAAAUGAUUAAGUAAUAAUCAGGAUAUAGUCAGACAGUGGACUAUUCGGCAAAUCUAGAAUCUGAGAGUUAGUAUUAAGUGUGGGAAAAGUUAUGAAAACAGCAUGGAUGGGGAAUAAAGGAUAAUUUUUUUAGGACAAAAGAAUUCCAAUGAAUCAACUGGAUAGCCUCAAAGUAUUUCCACCCAAAGUAUCUCCAAAUACUUACUAAUUGCAAAGAGAAUAGUCAGUCGUAUCUGAGAAACCCGAAGAUGCCUCCUUAACCACGUGAUCCAGGCUAACAUCACCAGUAACAUCAUCACACACAUAGACCCCACGCAGCCCCAGAGAGACACAUUACUUCUGCGGGGAUUCCUAACUAAAAUGCAUAAUCUCAGUCUAAUUAUCAAAAAGCAGCAGAAGGCCAGUGCGGUGGCUCAGGCCUGUAAUCCCAAUACUUUGGGAGGCCAAGGCAGGUGGAUCACGAGGUCAAGAGAUCAAGACCAUUCUGGCCAACAUGGUGAAACCCUGUCUCUACUAAAAAUACAAAAAUUAGCUGGGUGUUGUGGUGUGCACCUGUAGUCCCAGCUACUCAGGAGGCUGAGGCAGGAGAAUUGCUUGAACCUGGGAGACGGAGAUUGCAGUGAGCUAAGAUCAUGCCUUUGCACUCCAGCCUGGGCAGCAGAGCAAGACUCUGUCUCAAAAAAUGAAAUCAAGGAUAUCACAGAGGACACAGAUGGGACGAUGCAUAGGGUGAGGUAUGGGGGAGCAGCAUGCCAUCCUCCAGGAGCCUCCAGGGGUCCAGCUCUCUGGACACUCUCCAGACCCUGUCCUUCAGGGGUUUAAUGGAGGCUCGUUACAGAGGCAUGAUUGAUUAAACCAUCUGCCAUUGGUGAUCAACAUAACUUCCACUCCUUCUCCCCUCUAAGGGAGAACAGGAGUGGGGCUGAAAGUCCCAGCCCUCUACUCCUGCCUUGAACUUUCUGGAGUAGCCCCCAUCCUGAAGCUACCUAGGGGCUGCCAGCCAUUAGCAUACAAAAAGACACUUACCUCUUUGGAGAUUCCAUGGAUUUUAGGACUUAUAUGCCAGGAAAUGUGGACAGCAACUCAUUAUGUAUCUUACGAUAUCACAAAGGGGAACCAGCCUCAGAUGAAACCAGAAAAAUGGGAGGCAGAGUGGAGAGACAAGGACACUGGUCCAGGAGCUGCUGAUUCAAGCCUCACCUGAAAGCUGCGUCACCUCCAGACUUCCGAGCUAUGUAAGCCACUAAUUCCCUCUCAGGUUUAAGCCAGUGGAGUUUCAGCUCUCUACUGCUUGAGACUGACAGAGUCUUGACUGACUCCUGUGAGGCUGGAUCCAUGUAAACAAAGGCUGUCAUCACGAGUGGGGUUCUCAUCCUCUGUCAGCUCCAUUUCCCUCUGGGUUGGUUUUGCCGUUAGGCAGGCCCUGCCUCCCUAGUGACAAGAUAAUAUCUAAAAUCCAAAUUCGGCUUAGCAAUCCCCCUGGAAGGAAAGUACAUCUUUUAUACCAGUCGGGUGUCGGCUGCAACAAUGCUGUGUAACAAGCACUCUGAAAUCUCAGUUGCUUAUAACAAUCAUUCCUUUCAUACUCACGGGUCUACAGGUUAGUGGGGAGUUGUUAAUAUCAGAGUUAGGCUGGACUCCAGUCUUCCGGUUGGGUUCAGUUUGCCCCACAGUCUCCAUCCUGGACUCCAGAUGAAGGCACCAUGGUCACCUGGGUGUGCCUUCCUGUUGGGAAUCACUCGGGAUGACUGGCAAAAUAUUGGGGAAAUAUUAGGGAAAAUUAUAAGAUCAUAGUCUCAAACCUUUUGGAAGGCUGAAAGGUUUUAAUGGAAAGGGCUGAAGGCAGCCAGUUCUUACAUUGUGACUUUAAGUUGCAGGGUAAAGAUUAAUAAUAAAAUCUUCCCCAGUUAAGUCUGUUUACUCCACAUUCCUUUGUCCCUACUCUAACUGUUUCCUCAUGUAAACGUUUUGAUGAUGGUCCUCUCAGGGGGAGGUUGAAGGGAAUUUACCUGUUAAUGGUGUUUAUUCUGGGCCCAGGAACCAAGACCUUUUAUCAUUCAUAAAACCACUCUUCUAGCCAUGUUAAUUAUUCACAAGAAUGUUGACUAGAACCUGUUAUUAAAUCUACACUGAAUAAAUGUGAGGAGUAAUGGGGAGUCAUGAUUGGUUAGCUGCAGUCGCCCUCAGAAAGCAGUUGACAACAAUCCCUAGCCUCUCAAAUCACUGUACCGGGUAUGAGAGUGCAUCCGUUCAUCUGUCACUGAGUCAGGGUCUUCAGGACAGAUCUCUGCAGGUGGUGGUCAGCGUCUUAGGUGGUGACCCCAGUGUGUGGCGCCCUAACAGGGACACCAACGUGACCAGUGCAACACCUUCCUUCCUCAUGGUGGUCAGGAGCUCUAGAGGGGCAAGUGGAAACACAAGAUGCCACUCUAAGGCCUAGCUGGGAACCCACACAUCGUCACUUUCACCCACAUUCCAUUGACCAAAGCAAGUCAGAGGCUGAGCUCAUCAUGGAUGGUGUGGGGAAGAAUACUCACCCACAGUGAACCACAGCAGGGGAGGGAAGGAAGGAAGAAGCCUCAACAAAGCUCCGUCAGACACAUCUUCCUCCAUAGUGCCUUGAAGGUCUUGGAACCGACUCACUGGCCUGGCCUGGGGUCACUGCCUCAGGGAGGUAGGAGUGAGAGUACAGCUAUGGGUCCCCCAUGUGGGAGGAAGGGUUACUUCCCAAAUGAAAGUCAAUGUUGCCACAAUAAAGGACAAUGGAUCCCACAUAGGCAAUAAAUAAAUAAUUACAUAAACCAGUACUCAGCAAAUGGCAACACUCAAAUAAAUCACAUGAGCAUGCUAUUACUAUGCAGAUUCUGGGAGCCAGGCAUGGUGGCUCUGACUGUAGUCCCAGCUACUAGGGAGGCUGAGGCUGGAGGAUCUCUCAAGCCCAGGAGUUGAAAGCUGCAGCAAGCCACGAUCAGACCACUGCACUCCAGCCUGGCCGACAGAGUGAAACCUCAUCUCUUUAAAAAAAAAAAUUCAUCUAAUAAAAAAUAAUGCAGCUUCUGAUUCAGUAGGUCCAGGAUGAAGCCUGAGAUGCUGCAUUUCUAAACAGUCCCGGAUGAUGCUAGCAAGGACCAGUAGCAACAGGCAAGACUGAAUUGGGAGAGUCUCUCAGCCUUCCAAGACCACAUUCUCAUUUACCAAAUGAUAAUUCCACCUGCCACGCAGACUUUUCUCAGCCAGGAAGAUGGUGCCCUCAGGGGGAUAAGGUGAUGCGACAUUUGUACUAUCACUCACCUCCUGCCUGCUCCUGCACCUCACAGCCUCCCUCAGCCCCCAGGAAAGGACUCACGGUCCAGCCAGCAGCGAGAAGGGAGGACGAUAUCACAAAGCAAGCGCAGCUUCCAUUAACUGCUUUAAACUGCUCCCUACAAUGAUGUUGGUGUAAUCCAUAAGAUUCAAUUAUGGUUAUCAGAUAAUUAGGCACACCACAGCGAGGUUACUGCAUAAUUAAUGCUCAGCCCCCGUUUCAGCCUCUGACAGUGGUGCAGGUGACAAGAUUCACCUGCCCCAAAUCUGGGAGAGGAGCAGGGGCACCCAGGAUGGGGAAUGACCUCCCCUCAGGCUCAGAGGAAGAUGUUCUUAGGACCCCAGAGGCAUGGCAAAGGGACAGUGUGUGACUGGAAGGGCUUGAGUCUGUGUGUGCCCACAGCCUUAUACCUGCCAUUGUGUUGAGAACCUGGGCUUUAGCCUCUGGAGCGAAGUUCAAAUCCUGCCUCAACUACUGAUCGGCUAUGCGGCAUUAAGCACUCGCCUCACAUUUUUAAAGCCUCCACCUCCCUGUUUUUUAAAGAAGAAAACUGAUUGUGUUAUGAAAACUGGAUGGGAGAGUUUGCACAUUGGUUAGAUGGUUCCUGCAAUGCUAUUUCAUUACUUCCCUGUCUGGGCCUCAAUAUCUUCGUCUGUAAAAUGGGAGUAAUUACCUCACCUUGCCUAGGCUUGAAAGAUCAGCCUGUAAGUCAAGUAAGACACACAUGUGAACGGCAUGUGCAGAGCGCUUUGUAACGCACCAUUGCCUUAGUUACCAGGUGCCUGGCUUUCUGCUCAGCCCUCCAGGGAACGACUUUAUACAAGUCCCCAGGUCUCAACAAGACAGUGGGUGAUUAGCCCACUUGAGAAGUGAAACUCAUGAUUGGGUGAGUAGACUGGAGGAGAACCAUUCCUUUUUUUUUUAGACAGAGUCUCGCUGUGUCGCCCAGACGAGUGCAGUGGCAAGAUCUCAGUGAUACCUUCCAAUCCACUGGCCUCUCUGAAAUUGGCAAUAACCAUUUUCCCACGACCCCUUCCCUCUGAGCGUGUGAUUCCAAAACUGUCCACCAGAAGGUGCUCGGGAGCCAGAAUUCAGGCGUUCUCGGCCCGAGGACGAUUAGAGUGGGGAGCUUCGGAGUUACGCGGAGACCCACCCUUUCAUUUGAUAACUGAGAAAGCCACGGGAAGGGACUUGCUAGGCUCACAGCCAGUGAUCCCUGCCCUGUUUCUUUAUGGGCAUGACGGUCAAAUAUGGGGAGUGGGGCAGAACCUGUCACUGUCACGGUCCUGUUUACAGAGGAAGGUCGGAGAAACCAGUGCCGUGGAAGGUUCGCGGGCGUUGUCAGACGCUGCCCCAGUUCACCGGCUCUGUGACCCUGGGAAAAUGGGAACUUCAUGAGAGCAGGGACGUGGGGGUGUCCUGCUCACCCGAGCACCGCUGGCGCCCGGAACCCAGCUCUGCCUCCGGGCUCCGGGAGAAGCGGCCUCAGCCGUGUGCUGGUGCUGCCCUCUAGUGGCGCUGGCUGCCCAUGGCACCUGGCUUGCUCCUCCCCAGGGGGCCUUUUCUUCUCCCACCCACCUGUCACCAGCCCCCAGGGCACUUCUCUGUGUGACUCUAGAGUGGAGGUGGAGGGACCUUGCCUUCUAGGAUUCAUCCCACCUGGAUUCCGAAGACUGAGAAACGCUCUCUGGCACCUGGUGUUUAAAUGGCCGCCCUCAUUGGUUAAUAAAGACAAGUUUAGUAUCA